rnacentral:lncRNA from 1 species
AAUAAUUACAUUGAUGGUAUUUCAAUCAAACCCUGGAAGCGAUCAGAGGGGUAUUAUUCUGCAGAUAAGCACAAGCAGCUGCUACUCCACUUCCCAACUUUACCGGGUAACCCACAUCCUUGAGUAUCAUCUCCACUCCAGUAUGUUUGACAGAGAAUGAGGGUCUGAUUAAGGAAUCAGGACCCAUUUGGCAGAGUUAUGACUGUCUUAGCACAAAGAGGCUAGCAUGACUGGUUAUUAAGACUCAAUUUCUCCAUCACCUUGUCAUAGUUAUAAAAGCUUAAAGUUGCAGUAGUUGAACAUUUUUGCUGGAAACUACAGCUAGAUAAUCCAUUAUAUUGUGAUCAGAGUUUAAGAGUUAUCCUUUGAAGUUUAGACAGUAGAAGGAUUUUCAAAUCCUCGGUUUGGGUCCUUAGACAUUAUGACUCAAGAAUACGAAUACGAGUCCGCAGACAUUCCAAAGCAGUCUCUCUGCCCACAAUUACCAGGUCAAAAUGCUGAUAGGUAACAAAUUGUAAUGACUUCUUACCGUUAAUUUUAUUAUUUUUCUCCUCGAUGCAUGACUAACGAAUACAUUCACACAGGCAAAUUGUUUCAUGAUUCUUUAAUGCAAUUUGGAGGACUGUUUUUAAUUUAAUAUACACUCUUGUGGAUUAUUUGUGUGCUACUGUCAGCAGUGUCUUCAUGUCUUCAUGUACUCAAGUAUCCUUCUUGGAUUUAUUCUUAAGAUGGUGUUUCUGAAUGAUGUUUAAUGAAUCACUACAUGCACAUGUCAAAGGAUUUGAGAAAUGAAGGUUACCUCGUUCAGGUUGCCGAGAUGCCCUAUUCUGAAAACCUUGCCAGCUACUUUGUUAAGGCCCAAACCUAAGCUUAAGUUGUAUCUUUUCCAUCCCCUCCUAACAAUUUCUGCACUAUCAAUGUACGGGGGAACAACUACAGCAGUCACUGUGUCACUGAACCAUUCCUCCUUUUGAGUACAGUUCUUCAAGCCCCAUGCCUCCACAGCAAGCCUACAUUUUAAAAUUCAAGGAGUCAUGAAUUGUGCAUCUGUCAGACAAUUCAAUGAUUGAGAUAACUUUCUGAAAUAAUUAAAAGGAAAACAUAAAAGAAAAGGGAGUAACCUUGUUGCUUUUCCCAGACGAGCAUGCCUUUCAAACACAUUCUCAAGCCCUUCCGCAAAAAGGAGAUCCAGUGCUGCUCUAAGUCCAUACAACAAUUGGAUGGAAGGAGUGUAUGGCCAAAAUGUUCCAAGGUUGUAGAACUUCAAAUAGUCCUUCCAGUCAAAGAAGACUCUAACCGACUUUGCAGUUUUAGAUGCCUCGAUAGCUUUAGGGCUUGCACACACAAUACCCAUCCCGGUAGGAAGAGAAAGAGCCUUUUGAGAGCCAGUUAAAGCCACAUCUACUCCCCAUUCAUCCAUACGGAAAUCAAGGGCACAAAUGGAGGACACUCCAUCAACAAGGAAGAGAGCUGGAUGGCUGUAGUCAUCUGAGAAUCAUUGAAAAACACGAGAUCCAUCAUACGUGAUCAAGAUUAAAAUUAAACGAUGAAAGAACUGAAUUAUAAUAUCCAAAGUCACAGAAACAGACAAAAGCUGAAUGCUGAACCAGCUCUAUGUUGUUUGUCAAAUAAAGCAUAUAAGCUAAUCUAACAAUCCAAAAAAUUAGAAGCUUAGAACUGAUCGUUUCCAAUAAAUGGGCGAGGAAGGCUAUAUUUUCCACGUAAUUUGCACUGCAUAAUUCCACUCCCACCCUAAAAAAUCCACCACAAAGUACACUGCAGUAUGCUUCACUCAAGCAUUUUAAACUCCAUUGAUUUAUAAAUGCUAUGGAAAGCUUCUAUUAAAGCAUUUAUUAGGGAUAGGUAAAAGAAGCACUACAUCAGUACUGGAGCAGAUGUGCAAAUAUGUCUUAGAAUCAACCCUCUGUAAGAGGUACUAUUUUGCACAGCGAAUAACCUUCAGGGAACCAACAUCAAGCUUGGAGAUCAGCGGACACCGCUUUCGAGUUUCAACCAAAACUCUCGAGUAGUUAGGGAUCUUUCUCUGUAUAUAGGUGCCUCAGUCGGUCCCCAGGCAACUGAUGCAGGCCUAGCUUUCAUGUUCCAGAAGUUAGACAAACAUAAAAGGUCAACGACUGUAAUAGGAUCAUAUGCUGAAGUCAAUACAUAUUUUAACUAGUUUAUGCUGGAAAAGAUCCUUGAUUUUCUUUGGAGAAACAUCUAAGCAAGUAAUAUAACCGAUUAAGGACUAUUAGCAUACAUAGGCACUUUAUUAUUGCUGCUAAGGUUUGCCACUGACAAGCACUAGCAUAUACACUUACCAAGUAUUUUUCUAACUUUAGCCAAGUUGUUGGUAACUCCAGUUGCUGUCUCAUUGUGAACAAUGCAAACAGCCUUAAUGGUGUGUGCAGUAUCUUCCGCAAGUUUUGAGGCCAGGAUGUCAAGGUUGGCACCUUGACCCCAGUCACUUUCUACAACAUCAACAUUGAAACCAAGGCGUUGUUGCUGAUCAAUCCAGAGCAAACUGAAUUGGCCUAUCAAGAAAGACACAGUUCGAUCUCCAGGAGACAAUGUGUUGGUAAGUGCACUCUCCCAUGCACCAGUGCCUGAACCAAAAUAGCAACGUCAACUAACACAAACUACUAUUAACUGAAAUAUACAAAAAUAAAUGUCUCCAAUAAGAUGGCAUAAGUUAGCAAGCACUUCCAAAAUUCUUACGACAUAAUGGCAUUCAAGAAGUCUAAAGCAUUUCACUGUAUUUGGAUUUGUGCUCCAGAUGAAUUACAAACAUUUUAGAAUUUAAGACCAGGUCAGAUGACUGCUGCAAUAGUACCUGUGGUUGGGAUGAGAAAUGGAAUUCCUGAGGUAGUCUUGAAAAUCUUCUUCACAUCCUCAAGAAGAGUUUUUGUCAUGGCUGGAACUGCUGGUGAACGGUAAUCCUCGUUGUUCCUAUUCAUUGCCCGAAUGACUGGUUCUGGGAUGUUAACCGGCCCUGGAACAAACAGAUGAUUCCUUCCUGGUCCAUAAAAGUAGUCCAUCUUCCCCCCUGCAGAAUACCACAAACAAACUAUAUUCAUCAAAACACCUUAGCUAGAAAAUCACAGUGCAGAAAUCAGUGUUCACAACCCUCUUCGGAACAAUUCAUGUAGGUUUAUGUACUUUACUAAAUUCUUAAAUCAGGAAAACAUUAUACGUCCAACUACACUUCCUAGGAAUUUUUGUGCCAGCACACAAAGUUAAGAAAUCAAGCUGAAUUUCAUUUUACAUAGUUUCAUUUGGACAAUUCAUGCAGUGCUGUUGUAUUCAAAAUAGGCAUAACCCAAUACAAAAUACCACAUACAAUUAGAUUUUGGAAUGAAAAAGAACCAAAAACAUAAAUUGCAGUUGCAAGUGCUUUGGUAUGAAAGAAAGAAAAAUGUAGGAAGGCUGGAAGCUAUAUAUAGCUUAUUGGAAGAAUCUGUGUUAGUUUAUUGAAAGCUGUAAUUCUGCCCUUCACUCUCAGGAUUUACAACUCCUUUUCCUUUCCUUUCUUUUUUGUUUUAUCUUCCUUUCCUUUUCUUUUAAAAAAAACAACAAAACUCAAGCUUUUUCCAAGAAUUAUUGGACAUCAAUAGUCCCCUCAGCCCUAGUCAACCUUGUUGUAUAGGGUUCAUUUGACGGCAUGUACUUAGGUCUUAAUACAGGAACUGUCUUCUAAUUGCCUAAAUCUCCACCAUUCAUCCUAUGAUUUAAACUUAAGACACCCGAGUAAAAUCUUAAAGUUUAAACCACUCAGCUAUCUCCUUGGGACAUCAUCGUGAAUUUUGAUCAGUUGCUUAUUUUCUAUCAUUAAUUAAAAACUGACACUACAUAAAAUCUAAAAGAUAAUAUGGCCUUAAUUAUAUGUUUUGUCUACCCUUAGUUUCUCUGCUUCAAAUACAAAAUUAAAAACUUCUUCAAAUAUAGUUCUAUAAGGAGUGAAUAAUACAUUUGUAAUAAUGUAUAGAAAGGACAUCAACACCUUGCCUUUUCUCCCUGGUAAAAAAGAAGUUUGUAUAUAGGAAAGUAAAGCAUGCUGCGCGCUUAAUGAUCAAGGAAACCAGAAACAGUUGAUAUCAAUGUAUUCAUGCCAUCACAUCUUAUAAGAAAUUAUGAAACUCAUGCCAGUGUAUUAAUCCUGGUAAAUCAACCCUUUUCAACUCCUAAAAGUAGAAGAACCAAAACAAGAUUGAAAGCAGUAACAAGGUCGGUGUAUUUCAGUAUUUGUGUGGUCGUGUCAGUGUCUAACAAACCAUCAAAACAAGACCACACCUCUGAUAAGAGCAGAAGAUGAACUAAGAUAUAUAGUAGAUAUACUACUAGUACACACACACACAAAAAAAAGAAAAAAGAUGGGAGUAACAGGAGAAAGAGUUGUCAGGUAUAAAUUACCUGUUGUGGUGAGUUUUGAUCAAAAGUGUGUCUCUGCCUCUCCUUUUCUUUUUCCUGGUUCUUUGGCAGUGUUAGGGGAUGAGUGCCUAUAGGCUGUAGUGAAAAAGAAGCUAAAGAGGAGAAUUCAGUUUAAUAAGAGGGCGGGAGAGCCAAUCAAUGUCCCAAGUGGGGUCCUCCUUUCACUUGCGUGGCAGAUAAGAGUGAACCUAUUGGAAUCCUGCGGCUAAGAAUGACUGCCAUGGCCAACAUUUUUGGCCUGCAUCUGAUUUCCACUAACGACUGCUACCAUGUUCUUGUUGAGGGUUUUUCUUUUUCUUUAUUUGCAUCUUUGUCCUUGUAUUUUGCUAUCUUUCAAUUCUAGCUCUCAAGGUAUUUGCUCAAGUGAAGUAAAAAGUUGGAAUUAAACGUUCAGAAAUAGGUGUAGUCUUUGUUGUGUUAUUAUGGCAAGGGCAUGAGGGAAACAUAUUUCUUUAAUUGGUGGACACAAAACAAAUUGUAAGACAUCAGGGACUGAACAAAAUUAAUGGAUUAUCCAUCUCUCUUCUUCUUCUUUUCAAAAAUAAAAUAAGAGAAGAAGAAGAAGAAGAAUACCUCCCUUGUUUUGGCACGACAUGCAUAGUUUUUGGAAGCAGGUAGUAUGAGGUCGAGAAAGCAAUGUGAGAGAUAAAGUGAUAAAGUGCUAUCAACCACGCUUCACUUGUGGGAAUCAAGGCCACACAGCCCCUUUUAAUCUUGUCUCUUUACUUCCUUCUCAUCAUUUUUGUUUCUAUCUCCUGUUUUGCUUGAUAUUUUCAUGUGGGUACAAAAGGAUGUUUGAAAUUGUAGCUGUGAUGAUUUGUUAAAGUGAUUUUUAUUUAUAAAUAUAUUAAAAAUAUAUAUUUUUUAUUUUUUUAAAUUAUUUUUAAUAUCAGUUCAUUAAAAUAAUUUAAAAAUAUUAAAAAAAAAAAUAAAAUUUUUUAAAAAUAUUUUUAAAAUGAAAAAACAAACAAAAGCAUUGCUUACCUUUUUUAUAUAUAAUUAUUUCUUUAAUUUUUUGACGUCUACCAUGAGCGAUGUAACAUGUUGGGUAUUAUUUUGGCCUCUCGUCUUGUACAAAUUUCUAACCACAAAAGGCAGGAUUAUGUUAUUCGAAGUGCCAAAAAAUAAAAAGACAUGCCCAGAAAUUUUAUAGACUCUUCGUGAUCAUCAGUACUAAUAACUACAACUGUCCUCCAAACAUGAGGGCUCUUCUUUGACAAGCUACCGGGAUUAAUGUCAAAUCGCAGCUAACCAAAAAACAAAAACAGCCUGCUCUAGCAGGAAGCAUGUUAUCAGCCUCCUACACUUCUCCCUUUUGAUGGGAGAUUCAUGGAGCUUUGGGAAAAACCUAGCAUCCACACAUUCAAUUAAAAAGUCAAUCGGCAUGAUAUACGAGGCCAUUGCACAGGACAUACAACACACAUCCAAAAAAUAGAGACCCAGGCUAGGGGAUAAUAUACAGGGACAUGAGAAAACUCAAAACCUAAAGGCAUCUGAAACCCUUUUUGCACAAGUAGCAUCAAUGGCAUGUAAGGACAGAGCGCUUCCUGUCACAAUCCUCAUAUACCUAAGUGUAUAUCUUUAGAUGCACAAUGUCAGCAUUCCCGAUUUCUAAUUACAAAGCAUUCCAUCCUAUUAAAAUCAGCCAAGUUGAUAGAAAUGCAUAUACACAAUAGCAUCAAUACACAGAACUUCACAAGCAAAACGUAAAUGUGAGGUGAAAACAACAGCUUUCAGUUUGACAAUUGAUCCAUAGCUAAAGCAGAUUCAUUUUUCUGCAUUACCAAAGUGAGGGCACAUAUACGUCCUUGGUAAUUCAUGCUGAUUAAGAAAUAGCUCACCACAUCAAAUAGCAGAAAGCAGAUAAAACAAUAAAUCAGACAUCACCGUAACACCACCACCUACAGUAACAAUUAGAGUAGAGCUGAAUCAGUGUAGAAACAGGUAACUAUAAUACAUGCCAUGUCCAGAAGCUAAGCAGCUUAUCAUCGUGCGCCAAGGACAGAACACAACUACUAAUAACAUAUUGACAAGUUUUAUUAGUGUCUCGACAGGAACAAUAAGGUUCAGAAUAAUGAAAAACUGAAACUGUAUUGGUAAAAGGGAAUCAAAAUUAUUCAAAACUGAUAAUGUACACUUCUCUCAAGGCAUAAUACAUGUAAUAUGUUCCGCUCAUUUAUGUAUAUUUUAAAUUGAAUGAAAUUCUAAUAUUUCUUUCACUAACUCCACUAUAUACGUAAAACCAAUUACCCAACUCAUUUCCUUGAACAAAAAAUUGCAACAAGACCACAUCCAUCCUUCUCAUGUUAAUUAAUUUUGGCCAUCCCCCCAGGCACCUUUUGUACAUUUAUGCAAAUUCCCCAUCCAACGGAUAUUUCAGAUCUGCCAGAAAGAAACUAAGUAGGAAUUGGCACCUUAUUACUCUGAUGUUGAAAAGAAUUCCACAGUAUAGCUAAUGACUGAAGCAGUGAUGGACCAUGGGAAAGCCAUGGGGCUUAUGCCUUUAAUCAGUUGCUCUCCUUCCCUCGAGCACUAAGACUACUUUAUACCUUAUGUAAAAUUUUGUUUUGGAGUAAAACCAGUUUGCCGCACUCGGUAAGGUCUCUCAAAAAAAGGCCUAUUAUCAGGUGGUCCUGCCCCAAGAAUUCCCAACGAGUUAGGGUUGGAUAAGCGGGUGCCCGGUGGUCUUUGUAAGGGGGGUUGAAUAUCAGCUUCAGCUCUUCUGCGUCGUUUCCACGCUUCAAAUUUCCCAGCAUCAUGACCUUUGUUUAUUGGUUCUGACAUUGCAUAGGCACUUUCAUUUUUAUAUCCAAUUUGCCGCUCAAAAUUCCUAGAAAGGGGAGGAAAAUUGUUGGGAUCGCUGUCUUUGUCAAGAGAACCAUAUGCAGCACCAUUGGCAUGAGAGGGUCCAGCACUUGCAUCUUCCUCCUGCUCCUGUUUAAGUUUCGAAUAAAUCUGACGAAGUUUCUCGCCAGAUAAAUUUGAAAAAGUAGAAACAUAAUUCCAUAAUCGCAUUGUCAUCCCUGGGAAAACAUUGAUUUAAAUGAAAAGAAGUGGCAGGGAACACCAAAAGUAAAUAAAAAAGGGGAAACAACUUGAACAUGUAUAGGAUGGAGAAACACAUACUAUCCUGUUUAUAACGCUCUUCCUCGUAUUCUAAGACAAUCUGGUCUAUUCUCCGUCCAAUAAGCUGUAAAUAGUUCCGAAUUUUCAAAAGCACCUGCAAGAAAAGGUUGAACAUAAACUUCUAGUAUCCAAAAAAUAUCACUACACAAUGGCCUAUCAGAAUAAAAGAUGCUGUACUUUUUCCUUUGGAAGGUCAGCGCUGGUAGUCUGCAACUUGUUAAGACGUUUCAGGGUUUUAAUUUCAUCAAACAUGACUUCUUCACACCAUUCCAUCCAUUUUACUUCCUUAAACUGCUCACAUAAUUCCUCAUUGUCUGACAUCUCACCCUCCUCUUUUACUAACUGUUCAACUCUCUGUGGUCUCUGAGGCCUAUUCUUGCUCGUUUGUACACUAACGAUUACAGACCCAGGCUUUGCUUUCUUGACCCUGUCCCGCGAAACAGAGAUGUUCAGAAGAUUCUCUCUCCCCUUCAUGGAGGCCUUCCGACCCCCUUUAGCAUUUGCUUUCUUUCCACCAAUAGCUGCAAGUUCCUGAUUGAAAAGGUGCUAGUUAUCAUCACAUAAAAUCCACCUCACUUCAAUGCAAAUUAUCAAUACACCAAAUUCACCACACGUCCAAAUUAGAUAUGCGACAGAACUAUAACGAACAAUUAAAAAAAGGCAAGCAUGCAAGUUCCUGAUUGAAAAAAGAAGUGCUCAUUAACAGUACAUAAAACCCACCUCACUUCAAUGCAAAUUAGAUAUGCGACAGAACAGUAACGAACAAUUAAAAACCACGCAAGCACUUACGGAAUUACUGCCAUCUGAUACAAGAAUAUCAUAGGCAACAGAUGAUGAAACUUCAAGUUUUAAUCUUGCACAAUUUUGACAGUCAAACUGGGAAGCUUGUUAAAUUAAUAUACUUGUGUCUUCUGUGACAAUUGUUUAAAUGGUAACAUGGAGUUUAACGAUACACAUAGCACACAACUAAAAUGGGAAACAAAAAUUUGCAAGGGAAGCUGAAAAUAUCAAGACUUAAGAUUGCACAAUUUUGGCUGUUAAACUAGGAAGCUAACUUAAUUAAUAUACUCGUGUCUGUUGUGGCAAUAGUUUAAAUGGUAGCUGGAGUUUAACAAUAUAAACAUAGCAUACAUGCAUAAUGGAGACAAAGCUUUGCAAAGGUUACAGCAAGAGACUGGAUGACAGCAUAAAGAAAGCCCUGUUUUCCAGUUUUGGCAUUUCCUGCUUUCCAAAUGAUAGCUUACCAUCUCCAGAAGUGCAUUAGCACGAUCCUUCAAAUUUGGAGCACGUGGUAAAAAGGUCUCAUGAUGCUGGAGUUCUGCUGGGGCAAUCUUCUUCGAAAGGCCAAGCCUUUCAUCUAACCGUAUCUUCUCCCAAUUGCCGAAUCCAUGGUAGUGUAUUCCCAGAAGCAAUCUUGCAUCAUCAACUAAGGAAAUACCAUAAUCAAUCAGCUAAAGGAAACAAGUCGAUUAUUAACCUCUUAAGAUAAUAAUACAAAAGAUAGGAAAUGCAUACUCUGAUUCCAGCCACAACCCUUGGACCAGUUUGAAGGCUUCAGGUACAUCAACACUCGAAACUGUGCUAUGGGAUUUUCAUAACGACUAAUUCGCUUUGCUAGUAGCUGAAGUUCUUGCACACGGCUCAAUAGAUCAUUUGCCUUCACAGGGACACCAAAAAAAUCCAACAAAGGACCCUAAAGAAAAUCCCAUUUGAAAUUGUUGAAUCAGAAACACAUUUUAUGCGAUGCAGCAACUACAAAAAGUACGCAUAGCAAGAAUAACCAAACCUUUGGGUCCAGAUUUCCAACUUCAACUGCUUCUCUACAACCAUCAACCAAAGCAUCAAAAAGCUCUAUCUGUGCAUCAGGUGGAGCUGCUGCAACUGUUCCACCAACCUCCUCAGCUAUCAAGUCUAUUUGGUUCAAGUUCCCAAACUUAAUCACCUAAUUCAAAAAAAAAAAAAAAAAAAGAGAGAGAAAAUCCAAACUUUAGCCAAGCAUGGCUAGUAGAAACAACUUCUAAUUAAAAUGAAAACAAAGAAAGGGAAGAAAAAAGGCUGUCUUAUAAACUUCCACAAUGCCAGAAGCACUCUAAGCUUGGCCAGUUCACAUUUAACCAGUUUAAUCAGCAUGGCACUUCCACAUAUUGCACAAAUUGGACAAGUUAUCAAAGAUCUUCCAAGUAGUGAGAAAAGGGGAAGAAGUUACAGGGCUCAUAUUUCCUUCCAGGUACCAAUAUAAAAAUUUCAUUGAACUAAUAAUUGUUUAUUAAUACUUUUGUUCCCAUUAAACUAUCAAUUAAAAAUGAAUUGUGGUGGAGUCUUAUCAGGAAUAAGAAUAUUUCCUGCUGUCAUCAAGCAGCUGGUGUUGGAUUCUCCAAAAUUUGACGGAAUUGAAAGAAUCCACGUUUCUCAGAUCCUAUUUUCAGGUUAACGAUAUUGCUAUUACAUUCAAUUAGAUUACUCGCAGUAAAGUAAAAAUUUGCAAAAGAGUGUAUGACAAUGGCAGAACAGAUGCAUAAUAAAACUGAUUUUGAUUAGUUAAAUUUGUCUUGCAGGUAAAGAAAGAAAAAUAGGAAAAUAUAAAAAAUAUCCAACCAACAAAUUCACAGAAUAGGAGCGAGGAGGAGGUUAAGAACCAAUCCCCACAUUAAGAAAAGAUGAAUGCACUGAUUAUAUAAUAUGAAUUAAAUUAAAAAACUCGUGAAGUUAAGGAAUCUGAAAACAUGUGUUUUUUAUCUCAACAUUUCCAACAAGAGAAAAGAUGUAGAUAUACAAAGUUCUAGACUGUCUAAAAAGGAUUUGUUUUCACUUCUAACAAUCUCGAAAAUUGAAAGAUAAAUUUGAAGCAUACCACACGAGAAAAGCGUAAAGCAUCUCUCUUAGGCAGAUUUCCAUGAGACCAUUCUCUCACUUGGGAGGAUGCUCCCUCGAUCAUUGGUGCUAAGGGGGCAGAAUAAUCUGAUUUUCGACGCUUCUGCACUCUCUCCUGUGGUUCUGGUGGCUCAGAACCUUUCUUUUUCCGUUUGUUACUUCUCCCAGGUUGAUUAUCCUCUGCAUAACUCUUAGUAUUUCUUGCAGCACGAGGAGCUAAAGCAUCCUAAGGGAGAAAACAAAUAUCACACAAAUAAAAAUAUGAUAAUUACAAAAGAAAUGAAAUGAACAUCACUAGUCAUUCAAAAAACAUGUCAAGCUGUCAUCUAUAAAAUCUUAAAUCAAAUUCAACAAAAGAGAUGCAUACCUCAGCUUCAGCUACAGCAUCUGGUUUUAUCCAACGACUCCAGAAACUCCCAUCAUUUUCGGCACAACAAAAAUUUGCAACCUGGAUAUAUUCCAAGAAUAAAAUAAUCAGCAAACUUAAUUGUGAAAGAAUCAAUAAGUAUGACAACACAUCCCCCCUAUGCCAACCACAAGUGUGCGCCCCCCCCCCCCCCAAAAAAAAAAAAAGAAAAAAGUUUGUGCUUGAUUUUACUCUCAGUUGGCAGGUAAAAUGGGGUCAAGAUAGAUUUGUCUUUUGUGCAUUUUCUUUCUUCCUCGAACUUAUAACCAUCAUUUUCUUUUUCCCAAGCACCUGGUUAUUAGACCCAAUAAUACACACUAUUUACUUUAAGACAAUUUAAUUCAAAAUUGAUACGGUGUUGCAAACCUUAACACAAUUUUAUAAACUCAUAAAAUGGCGUAGUCAUUUAAGAUUUUAGACCUUCAAAACUACCCUAAUGUAAAUGUAGCAGCAGAACCUGGAUAUAAUCAAAACAGAAAAGGUACAGAAAUAAGCAGUGGAAUUCCAACAUAGAAAAUAAUGAAUUAUUUACUUGCCUUAAAAGCACCUAACAAUUCAUUCCCUUGCUCUCCCCCAGCUUCCUUCUCCUCCACUUUCUCUGCUCUUUCAAGAAUUUCAUCAAUAUCCAUACUUAGGAGUCUUUUCUUGCUUUCUUCGUCGUUUCUGUCCUCUUUAAAGAGUUCCUCAGCCCCAAAUCUUAAAAUUGCUGAGAGCUCAUUCUGCAAUCAAGAAAGGUGAAAAAAAGUGUAAGUGCAAUAGUUCUAAGGGACAAUAGAACAGCAACUAACAGAAUGUUAGAAUGCCACGAUAAUCAUACAUACAAGAAUUCAGCCUACAAUUGAAUACCCAUAUUUAGGAUUAGAAACAUAGAACAGUACCAACAAAAAACAUGAAUUAUGGUUUGAUUAUGUUCUUACUUUAUCAAAAUAACUCCCUUUUUUUGUUUCUUUCUUUUCCAAUCUACCCUCUGCAUUUAGUUUUUGGAUCACCAAAUGGUCGAGAACCUAUAAAGAGCAAAUUUGACAAAAAAGGAUAUGUUAACUAAUAGGGUUAAAUACUAUUAUACAACAUAACAGAAAGUCGACAUAUUAGAUGUGAGUAUCAUGUGUGGAUACUAUUAUAUGCAAAUGAACAUGACUGUUAGGAUGAAAGUAAUGAAGUGCACUGAUAGAAAUCGACUCCAAGAAUCUACCAUCUUCUUCUUAGCUCUCUCUAGGAUAUCUUCCUCAACGCUCUUGCUUGUCACAAAUCUAUAGAUGUUAACAACUUCUUGCUGCCCAAUUCUAUGAGCUCUGCUCAUUGCCUGAUAAAUCAUCAAACAAUUAAGCAACAUCUGUUUCCUCUAAACUAAAUAAUUCAAUUGAUCGAAACGAAGAUCCAUGAUGGUAGUAGAGAGACUAAAAAAACAUUGAGUGAAACAAGUUUUCAUUCUGCUUAUAACCUGUAGGUCAUUUUGAGGAUUCCAGUCUGAAUCAAAUAUUAUAACUGUGUCAGCAGUUGCAAGAUUGAUGCCUAAGCCGCCAGCCCGAGUUGAAAGAAGGAAGCAGAAAUCAUCACUACCAGGUGCAUUGAAAUGUUCCAUUGCCUGCUGACGCAACUCAGCCUUUGUGCUACCAUCAAGCCUUUGAAAUUGGAACCCUCUGAGUGACAUGUAUUGAGCUAUUAUAUCCAACAUUCUGACCAUCUGCAGCAGUUGACCAAUGCCACAAUUCAUUUGUCAUUUAAUAUGCUUGUAUACCUUUUAAGGUAAAAUAAGUCAAUUUAAAUAAUAUAUCCAAGACCAAGUUUUUCAAAUGGUCACAGCACCCUGCUAAAAAUUCAGCAAGGUGUCAGUUGAGGCUAGUACUCAGUGUUUGAUUCAAUUGUGAGGUAUAACGGAAUUUUAGAAAGUGGAAAUGAAAAUGCAUCAAGGAAGUUAAGCAUCAUCAGUUCCCAAGGAAACCGCCCUGGUACUUGGAAAAUGCCUAAUCAAUUGCGUACAUUCACUAAACAAAUGAUGAGUUUCCAUAUCCAAUCCAAAUUUGACUACAUAGGCAAUAAAUCAUGAAUACCAAGAAAAUGCACACUACAAACCAUCAUUUACCCUCAUUACAGUUAAUCAGCUUAUCUACAUUUCAGUACGAGGCUGACCCAGAAUUGAAGAGAUCAUAAUAUCAUUUAUAGCUUUGAAGGGAUACCUAAGUAAUUUACAGUCAGCAAGCAUAUCUAUGCAAGGAGAAUAACAACAAAAAAGCUAAUGAAACAAACCUGGGAGAAAAUAAGGACACGAUGUUUUGUCUCGUGCAAUCUGACGAGUAGUUUGUCAAGAAUAACCAGCUUUCCACUGCUUAAGAUAAUCCUCUCCAGUUUACUGCUAUCAUUGGUACUGAUGUCCCCGCCAUAACCAUGAUCCGCACUUUCAAAUAGGAAGGGGUGGUUGCAGCAUUUCUUCAACUCUACCACAAUAUUCAGAAGUGAAACCUGAAAACAUAAAACAACUAAUAUUAUCAGUUUUCAACACAGUAAAAAACAACAUGCAGCUUCAGUCACUUCUAAUCCAUAAACAAAGUGCCUCUAAUGUUUGACUCAAAAUUCAGUGAUGUCACCAAUAGCUGUUAGAAUUACUUUCCAAGCCUAAAGUUCUAAUAAUAUUCAUGAUUUCAUCGCAGACACUAACCUGAUUGCCACGAACUCCUUUGUUCAGGUCAUGGAAGUUACGUUCCAAAAUCCAUUUAUAGUAUCUAAACAUAUGCAAAAAUCAAAAAUUACAAAAGCUGUCAAGAAAUAAUCCAGAAGAACAUCACUUUAUCACAAAUGGAAAACAUCGCUCACUGUUUCUGGAGAGGAGACAUUUCAACCCUCAAAAUGCGCUCUAUUUUGGGAGGCAAGGAUUUCUCCACAUCCUUGAUAACUCUUCUGAGAAUGUGAGGCCUCAAUUCCAUGUGAAGAUUAGCGAGCUACAAAAAACCAUAGAAACUUAAAUUAACUAAGUGUAGAAAAAUGUGUGUGUUUGUGUGUGCCAACUGUGAAGAAAAAGCAAAUACAACAGUGUAAUGUACCUCAUUUUCAUUAAAUGAGCUAAGAUUCUUAUAAUUGUGAACAAAAUCAUCCUUACUCCUGAACUUGUCAGGAUCAAGAAAAUGAAGCAGAGCCCUGGCACAUUUUGAGAAAAAACAAAAAUCAAUUAAACCAGGCAAACAAAAGAGGUCUGCAGCAACUGAGGGAGAAAACACUAGAGAGGAAAAAUUAAACAAAAAAGGGAAAAAAUCAACAAUGAACUUUCUUUGAACAAAACAGAGCAAUGAAGACAGCUCUCAUGUAAUGCUGGCUUGCAAGCCAUCAUAAACAAUCAGCAGAACCAACAUGCCAAUGACCUCCUAAUGAAUUCCAUUUUCAAAAUAUGUGCAAAAAAUAGAUUUGACCAACAUAAAAAUAUCAUAACUAGUAUCAGCAGUUUUCCCCAGACAAAGGGUGCUUAUUUCACACAUGUUUAAUAAUGUGCCAAAACAAAUAGUUAAUGAAAGAAAAUACCAAAACAAGCGAACAGAACAUGUGAUUGCACCAGCAGCUCUUAUCUGAAGAGUUGGUAAGAUAAGGACUGUAUUUAAAAAACACAGUCUAUGCUAUAAACAGUUUCCUAAACUUUAUAGGCCUUCAUAGUUAUCAUAUCUGGGGGGCAAAUUUGGCACAGGAUAAUUCCUGAAGUUUGAAUGCAAGAACAAUAACAGUGAGUUAGAGGAAAUGAAUAAAAACCAUAGCUCUUCCACACUGUUCUGCAAUGGAGUGCCAGUAAUUAGCAAUUUGUUCUUGGUGCUAAAUUCCUGCAGGAAAAAGAGAAUGAAUUAUCCAAAUAACAACUAAAUCAACCAAUCACAGCAUACAUACAAAAUACUGGCACCAAAAUUAAUUGUAAAAUGCCAUUACCAAAAGAGUUGUGUACAACUGCGCUUCACUGUUCUUUAACCUAUGAGCUUCAUCAACCAUUAAAUAAUUCCACUUAAUCUUGGACAGAACAGCCUUGUCCUUCAGAACAACUUCAUAUGUGGUCAACAGAGCACUGAAUUUUAUAGGCUGGCCAACUCUCUUAUCAUUGUAAAAUUCGUAUUGCUGACAAACCUGAAACCAAGGCUCAAACAUGAAUAAACACAACAAAAAAGCUAUAAUGAAACAAAAAAAAAACGAUAACCUCCAAUUGAAAGUAACACCUUGCAACAUGAGUUAAAAGAACAUUACAAAUAUUGACAGGGUGAAAACCAAAAUCCUUUUCUAUCUGGGCCUUUUUCCCUACCAUCCCAUUUGUUUAAAGACUCGGCUUAUUUUAAGACAACAGGUUAGAUUUUUAACCAUGCCAGUGUAGCCAAAAAACCUUGUCUCAGAAGGCAACAAGGGAGAGGAAUCCCAACUCCCUAUCUCAUCACAGUAAGAGUUUCACAGACAACCAAAACUAAUCUACAAUGGGUACUGGAGAAUGCCACCAUAAUGCAUGAUUUUUCUAGGUCAUGAAAGAAAAUGUUUGAUUAACCAGAUCAUGAAGCACAGCAGCCAUCAUUAAUUACAGCGCUUUUAUUCACAGACAACUUCAAUAACCCCCCCCCCCCUCUUUUCUGUCUUGCACUGAGGUAAGGCCUGCCUCCAAAGCUUCUUAAGGAUAAGAAAAAGGCUACUGGCAUGCAUACACAGCUGUCACCAACUAAAUCAGGGCUUUUGAGCUUUCCCACUCAUUCCCCAUAUCAAGAUUUUUUGGAUGCCUGAGCUUUAAUAACAUGGAGUAUGGACUGCUUGAUAAGUAGCAAUUUUUUUUAAAGAAGAAAGUAUCUAGAGAAAAAAAAGUACAGUACAGAGCUGGAGAACAAGACAUUCAUCUAAGAAAAAAGCAUAGAUAAUCUAGAUCAAAGUGAUAAAUAUUCCAAUCUCUUCUAGUAUUCCCUAGAGAAUUGACCCUAAAAGGACCUGCUGCUUGACAUUGAAAAGAAGCCAAGAAAUUAAACUAACUUUCAGGUUUUAAGACUUUGAUGACUUCUAGAACUCUUUGGUCAAAUUCUUCUAGUUUUUAAUUUACCAGCACUGACAACAAUAAAACCAGUACUUUGUGCAAUCUUUGCACCUUCCUGCAGUUAUAAUUGACAGCAUCUCACAUGAUCGAUAGUAAUAUAACUAUAACUUAGACAAAUAUUAUGAUUUUAAGAUCCGAGAAUCUAAUUUGAAUUGCACAAAACAAUUAAAGACCAGAUGCCGGUAUCAAGAAGGAAUUAAAUAAAUAGAUUAAUCUCAAAGACAUGAAAAAAUGACAAACCUCCCGACUAGCACGAGUACCAACAUAUACAAUAACAUUCAUAUCAGGAAGCCACUUUCUAAAUUCUUUAGCCCAGUUCGACAAAGUUGAUAAGGGUACAACAACAAGAAAUGGCCCGGAGAUCUGCUGAGCAUUCUGCAGAGUGAGAAAAUUUGAAAGUUUCGUAACAUGAUCAGUUAACAUGGUCUAAAAAUAUUUAAAAAAAAUUAUUUAAUGCAAUUAGAAGGGAUCCCAAGAAUAAAACAAUUAGAAAAAAAAAUGCAGGAAUAAAAAAAUAAUUAAACAAAUUCCUUGGGUUGUUCAGGAAAAGAAAGGGUUUUACCUGCAAAAAACCAAGCAUGGAAACUGACUGAACUGUUUUUCCGAGACCCAUCUCAUCAGCUAAAAUGACAUUUGUAUCAUUUCUCCAACUAAGAAUGCAAGUGACUAAUUAGGAAAUGUACCAAUGACAUUAGGUUUCAAGUUAGUCAACAAUUUUCCCUUCAAGCAAAAGAUAAUCAUACCUGUUAACUAGAAAAUUCAAACCCUCAAGCUGGUAAUCACGAAGCUUUCCUCCUCUCAACCAUUCAGGCUGUUCAUCAAGUUUCCUUAAACUUGCUAAGAGAAAAGAAAAAAAAAACACACAUGCAUUUAAAUUUAUUUGCACCAUAUCACACUAAACAUCAUGCAGAGAAUUUCUGGCGCGGUAAAGACUAUAGCUAGUUUUUUUCUUUUACAGAGAAUUGCCCGCAUAAGUUUUUUUUUAUUUGAAUGAAGAGUUAUGCUAGCAAAAAUUGGAAUUAGAAAUUGAAAGAAAACAAAAGGAUAUUUGACUAUUAGAACAAAAACAACUGCCUACAAUUUGCUAGUAGGGCAGUAACAUAAAGCAGCAAAGCGAAAACAAUCCUCAGUUUUCAGAGCAGAACUUGAUCUUUUUAAAUUACAAUGCCACUCAUUUUGCAGGUCGUAAUUAUCCAACUUUUCAACUGACACACAGUCCCAAAAAACACUGGCCACACCAAGUCACAGACCUUUUCCUUUCUUGCGCUGUAGAUCCACCAUUUUCCCCUGUACAGCAAUUGCAGCCUCACGUGCCUGCAAAAGAAAUGGUAGCUACAAAUGAGUGCUACUUCAUUCAUGUCAAUUGCAAAAUGCAAAGCCAUAAUUUUCUAAGAAAAAUGUUGACCAAAAACACAAAUUAUUUGUGCCAGACCUUGUACUCGUCAAUAGCAUCUUGUGCAAAAGCAAUAUCUACAUCCUUUUCCCUGCACCACACAUCAUUGACUAUUAAGUAGCAGAGCAACUCUCACAAACACCUAUGCAUGCAUCACUACUUCAUCAGUGGAUAUCUAGAGGCUAGGCUAAUUUCACAUGUAUGUUGUUGAAUCCCAUAAGCCAGGAGAUAAGACCACGUCUAGGAUGUGAUUAUCAAUAACAAAAGGUACAAAAGAAUUUCAGAAGUACCACCAAAAAAUCACAAGACUGGUAUAGUUUAGAAUACCAGGUUGCUUCAGCAUAAGAUAGUCCUCGCCACUUGACAAUAUACUCCGGCACGACAUUACCAGAGCUAUCUUUAGUAAUUCGAUCAGCAAUAAUUCUCUCCACCUACAAAAACAUAUGAGCAACUAGCAAGAAUUGGAGAGUGACAAGAAGAUUUGUGGAAUAGUGUAAGAGGAAAAAAAAAAAAAAGAACUGGUCAAAGACUUAUAAAACAAUGCUGCAAGACAAACCUGACUAUUUUGCUUGAUUAGAUCCAAAUCCAUUUCCUUGCUCACGUCAUUGACCUCAAUCUGAUAGAUAAAAACCAAACAUUUGAGGAUAAACUAAACCAUCCCAAAAAACCAAUUUGCCAUGCAGGUUUCUUUUGUAUUGAAGUAAAAUGUGUAAAACCAGAAAAAUAAUUCUGAUAAAAAUAUGGAAGGAACAGUUCCAUGAAUUAAAAUGCAAAUACUGUUUUCCCAAAAUUAAAAAUUCAAGAAUUUCUAGUUAAGAAACAGAAAAUGCACCAUCAGCAACGGCAAACCAAUUCGAAAAACUUAGAUCCAAAAAUUAAAGUAAAGGGUAAAUUCUUUCUGAAUUUAAAUGUAUGAAAGACAAAAUACAAAGGCACAUAAAUUACCAUUCAGUAUAUUUUGGUUAGAAUUCAGUAUUUUUUUCAUCCUGUAAGAACUAACCAGCUUAUUCAUAAUGUAAGAAAAGUUAAAAAAGGAUCAAAUAUUUCUUCCAGUUAUAAGUGCCCCUCAAAUAUCAUCACACCAGUGUUGGACUUGCUAAGCCAUCUUGACAAAAUGAUCACCUGAUUUUCAGGAAACAAGGCAACUAAAUGCCAACCGUAUAACCUAUUCAGUCUGGAUCCUUAUAAAUAAUGAUCUAGAACAGCAUGUGAAAUUAAUGAGCCACAGAAGCUAUUUCAUUGUUAUAGAAAAAAAAUAAAUCUGUGCAUUUCUCGUAAUUACAGGUAUCUCACAUUCAGAUCAGGCAACAGAUGUAAAUUAUUAUUGAGUGUUUUCAUAUCAUAUCAAAACAUGCACAUCCCAGCAUCUCUCUUUCUCCUCUCUGAUAUUAUUAAGAAAAGAAAACUUCAAAACCCUUUUAACUUGUAAAGCAAAAGGUUUACCUCCUCACGUGUAAAUGAUCUCCUGUACCUCACAUCUUCCAUCACUUUUUUAGUGUAGUUCAGUACCUUCUUAAAACCACUUAGCUGGUGACACAACAGCAGACAAUGUAAACAACAGAUCCAGGGGGGGGAGGAAAAUUUUCAAAGCAGAAUAAAUUAAACUUAAACCAAAAAAUGCAUUUGAUUAUUAGAGCUUAAAUUGCAUGCAUAAGAAACAGAAAUAAUAGCAAUUAUACAUUUUGUAAGUCAGAAAAUGAUUUCCAUUGGCAGUGCAUAUGUGACUGGCCUUUCCACUUUAUCAAGAACUCCAUUUCUUUCCAAUCAGGCACAGAAUCAAACAGGUAGCUUAACAGAACAGGCUCCGUUGAUCUAUUGUUCCUCAUUGCAUCUUCAGCCGUGCCCCUUGGCUGAUGCCACAGUACCCUUUCAAUGGAGUCACCAUCUUCUUCUUCAACUUCAUCCUAUUUUGGAGAAGGCAAACAAAAGAAAGAAUAACAAUAGCAUACCAAAACUUGGUGACGUAAUGAGAGAAUCCAUUAAAGCACUGAAGCCUGUGAAAUUUUUAAUAUUCAAAUCCAAAGUGCAACCACAAUUGCCAAAACAAUAAAAAUAACAUAAAGAAAUAUCCGAAGUAGAAACAAGUACAUAUAAAACUAGAGCUAAAAGAUCAGGAGUUCUGGUUCAAAUGAUUCCCGGUCAUCAUUCACCUUUCCCAAAAAAAUAAUUUUUGACAGGCCUAUCUAGGGCCUAUUUGGGUGUGGUAGAGGUUGAUUUUCAAAAUGUUUUUCGCUUAGAAUGCAUCAAAAUAAUGUUAUUUUUAUUUUUUAAAAUUCACUUUUGGCAUCAAAACAAUCUAAAAGCAUCAAUAGAAAUAAUUUCAAGCUAAAAAAAAAUCAUUUUUUUUUCAAAAGCAUGGUUGGACCGCAAUGCUAAGCAGGGCCCUAGAAUCCUCAAACUAUAACACUAGGACCAAUUUAACCUCAUUGAUAGGAUUUUGGCCAAAACAAUUAAAAAUAAAAUAUUUUGCUAAACAUAGAAACACAUGGAUUCUACAAGUAUUUCCCAGUGCAAAUGUCCCCUAGAGAGCAUACAUUAUUUUAAGAGUUUGUCCACAGACACGGCAAACCCAGCUUGCUGGCUAGGGCAGGAAAAAGAGAGGCCUAAUAACAAACAAACACACGUGUAAAAACAAAGUUUUUUUGAGUUAAAAAAAAAUUACUUUCACUUUCUAGGGAGUUCCUGGAAAACUUGCAAGAACUCAUGCAACUUCAAUUAAGAACUUGAUGAAAAGAAAUAUAAGAAGCAAACUUACAACAUAUAUACAUAUGUAUAUAUAUGGAUCAAAACAAGCAGAAAAACUCAUAUAUGCAAGCCCUAAUCUAUAAGAUGAUAUUUCUAACCAAAACAACUAUAUCAUAAGAUUUUUUCAUCCACGUAAAAAAAAAACGAAGCAUUGUAACAUCGUAAAUUAUAGUAUGAUAAACUGCACCUUUAGGGCAUUCUUCUUUUUCCCUUCACCAAUCUCUUCGCUUUCAUCACUUUCAACAUACGAUACCUUACGAACUGACCUACUUGAAGUGCGAACCUCAUUGUUUCUUCCACCAAUGUUUGUUGACAUAGUGGACCGAGCAUUAGAUUUGCGGAGAUGCUCACCUCUUUGAGUCAUGUUCUUGAAAUCUUUGUCGCUGUCAGAAUCCUCUGCCGAAUACUCAUCCUCUUCAAAUGAUGUUUUCCCUCUCUUUUGUCGACCGGAAGCACGUAAUGAUGUGUGCUCUCUGGCAGAUUUUGUAUUACAUCCACCUUUACCCUGUUGCCUACCCUUAGGUUUUUUUGUGUAAUACGAAUCAUCAUCAUCUUCAUCAUCUGAGAUAACCCAAUCAUCACUGUUAACUUCUUCAUCUGAAUCUUCACUCUCCCCAUCUUUAUCCUGGUUUUGGUGAAAAAGCACUUCAUCAGGGUAAAAGGAAUAGGUGUGCAAUAUUGGUAUGAACUUUAUUAUCUGAAUCCACAGGCUCUUCUAGUCAUGCCUUGCAGCAUGCACAAAAAUGUAAGUGUGCCACAUUAUAAAAAUAAGGCAAUAAACUAACAGAAGAUUGUAAGGAUAAUACGAAUCAAAGAACAAUAAAUUGGACUUAAGAACAGCAGAUUGAAAUAAAACAUCAUGAAAAUUGCCCUGACAAGGCUAGUGAUAAACCCACGUGCUGUACAAAAUACAAAGGCAAUGAACCAUACUUCAAAUAACAACUAUGAAAGUGCAACGACAAUAACCUUGCCCCCCAUGUGACCACUCAAGGCGCCAUAAUCAGGGUCAAAAUCUGCAUCAUCAGGAUCAUCUUCUGCUAGCAAUAUCACAAAAAUUUCAGCUCCAAUGUUAAACAGUAAAAGAAAUUACCAACUACUAAAUAAUAUCCAAGCAUCUCAUAACUUGUUUUAGUGAAAAUGGUAUUGAAACCUAACAGAAAAUGCAACAAUAACAAAGAAAUUACCAUCUUCGUCUUCUUCCUCAUUAUCACCAUCACCAUCAUUAUUGUCAUCAUCAUAACCUUCACUAUUGUGUAAACCUCUAGACCUCCUCCUGGACACAUUAUUCUUGAUUGGUACAGGCUUUGAUUGCAACCUAGAGCUCAAAUCAACGGGUUUGCUAAACCCCCUAUAACGCAUCAAGUCACUUUGAUCCUCCCCGUCCUGCUCAUAGUAUUCAUCAGACAACAUCUCAUCUGCAGGGACAUCAGAAUGGCCUUUCCCACCCCUACCUACUUCUUUUUGUCCCUCUUCAUCUUCCGAUUCUAAUCUACCAUCCCUUCCAUUUGAUACAUUAUCUUCUGACCCUUCUGCAUUUCUAUCCUCUGACUUGGAAUCCUGCCUGGAAUCGGAUGCCCCAGGAGUAGCCAUGGGUUGACAGUCCUUCCAAAAACUGGAACCCCAUUUUCCAGCCACAUUUCUCCUUCCAGAAGGUUGCAACUCUGAAUUACUCACACCAGCACAAUUGUCAGCAGCCACAUCACUCUGCAACUUACCUGCAGCAUCUGGUUCGCUUUCAUAUUGCGCAUCCAUGUUCAUAUCCAGUUCUCUUUCACUAGAAUUCACAUCUACAUCCUCAUUGCCUAACAUUCUACCUGUACCCUGACCUUGCACUUUUCCUUCUAGGACACUCUGUGAAACUGCUUCAGUUGUAUAGUUCCUGCAAAAAGCCAUCCUCUCACAUGGAAUUUCAAAGGUAAUUAUUUCCCGCCUUUCCCUAUCUGAAAUGCUUGCUGUGAAUACAAUGCUGCGGGUAACUUUUCUGUUGUCUCUUACAGUCUCCCUCAAGGCCUGGAAACAAUAGAAACCAAUAAUUAAUUAAAAUCAACAUACAAAUAAUAAAAACUAAAAUUGCGCUUCACAAAGGUGUUAGCAAAAAACACACUAUGAGAAAAAAAAAAUUGUCUUCAAAAAGAAGAGUUUAACUUUUAACCCCAUACUCUUCACUGUAUUAACUAGUAAAAAACAAAACCCAAAAUUGUAAAAGAAGAAAUUUCUUUAUGAAGUGAAGAUUAUCGGGUUCUUUUCAGAUAGCAGAUAUCUGAGUAAUCAAAUCUUGAUAACAAAACCUCGUUCAUUCCACAAUACAUUCACUAACUAGGACUGAAGAAGAUUCUGAUCACAAUUUAAACUGGCAACUGAUGGUAUUCAAAAACUAUAACUAAAAUCGGAAAAAAAAACACUUACUUAAACCAAAACCAAUGGAAAAAGACUAAAGACAAUCAGAAACAAGUUCCUAAGAGUUCAGAUGAUACUAGAAAUGAAAGAAUUAUCAGAGCAGGCUCAAUACAAUCAGAAACCGAAGCGAAAUAAUCACUAAACCCACUAACAAACAAAACAAAAGAUGAAAACAAGUCAAACAAAGCAAACUAUAGAUCCAUGAGUGAAGCCGCAAAAUCAAAUGACUACACACUUAAACCUUCAAUUUAGAAACCCUAAAACGAUCAAGAAACCCUAAAUUCGAAAUCGGAAACGUUAAAUUCACGUUAGUAAGCAUCGAAAAGAGAAAAUCGUGCCGAAAAUUGCAGCCUGUUAUUAAACAAGAAGCUAACCUCAGUAAAUGAAGAACCAAACUGAUUUAUCUAGCUAAUUAGGUCAAGAUACUCUUAAAAAAAAACAGGAGAGGGUGCGCAGUAUAAUAUCGGAGCACCUUUCAAAUCGCCGGCGACCAAUGAGUUUGAAAAAAAAAAAAACGGUGUCGUUAAGGAUGUUUCGGUUUAAAUGUUAACGGGUAUGGAUUUUUUAGUAUGGGCGGCGGCUGUUGCUAAGAUACGCGGAGGGUGAGGUUAAGAACGGUUCCCGAUUGAAAGGAAGACGACGAAUCGAUUUUGGGAUUGAUCGUCGAUUGGUGUCCGUGAGAAAAAGGAGAGAGAGACACCCACAAUGUGUUCGUUUUUUUUUCUAGAGAGAGAAAGUUAAAGAUUUGUUUCUUGUGUUUUUUUUUUUUUUUGAGAGGGGGGAGAGCAGAAAUAAAAAAUAAUAAUAAUUGAUUUCGGUUUUGGAGCUGUUAUUUAUUUUGGAGAAAAAACGUGUUUAUAGUUAAAAAAAAAAAAUCUCUCUUAGUUUUGUGUAUUUUGGAGCCAAUGGCAUGAGCCCACCUGGCGAUUAAUCGGACGGUUAGCGUGAGACGAGUUCCCAGGAGUGGUGUCCGCUGCUUUCAAUUUCAAGGGUUGAAAAAAUAAAAUGCAAAAUGGGGGUCGAGCUGAGUGAAGGAAAAUGCCCUUGCCGAGUUUUUCUUGCCCUCCAGUCCGUGGAUGACGAAAGGUUGAAAAAAACAUGUAGAAAUUUAAUUUUGUAGAUAUUGAAUCAAUGUUACUAUUAAACUUGAUAUUUAAUAUUAUAGAAAAUAUUUUUUUAUUAAAAAUAUAAAGAAUCCGUGAUAAAAAGUGAGAACAAAACAAAAACUAUAAUACAGACGCUCCAGUACCUUAGCUAUAACAAUUCAAUUCUCAUAAAACUAAAUACAUUAACUUUACUAUUUUAUUUAACAAAUUUCUAAAAUACUAGAUGAAUUCAUUGUAGCAAUAAACAUAAUUUACUAUGAAUUACUAAGUAAAUUUAUCUUUGUGCCCCUCAAUGGAAAGGUUAGAAUGCUAGGAUAUAGUGGUAUUUUGAUCUUUUAUGUUGACCCAUUGGUCAUUAAAAAAUUAAACAUAGAUAUUAUUGUCUUUUUAGAUUAUUUUAUAAGGUAAAAAUAUUUUUCUACUCCUAAGGUCAACAAAAUUUAAACUUGCUAACCAAAAGUUUUUUUGACUUUGCAUAAAUUUUAAAAUAAGUAAAAAACUUCUUUGCCUUUAAAAAAUACAAAAUAGCUUCUUUGCAUGUAGAGGAGUUUUGGUAUUUUUCACAUUGAUUUAUUUGUUAUUUCCAAUGUUAUAUGAGGUAUUUUAGUAAUUUAACAUUUAUUUUUAAUAUUAAAUUCAAAAAAAGAUGUUGGCGAGUGUUUUUCACCCGUUGGUGGCGUCCGCACUCUUUCGACGACUCGUGUGACGCCACUAUUUGUCCGAAAAUGACCUUCUGUCGUGUCACUAGAAGCGGCGUCACGUGCUCUUCCUCCUAGUAUGGAGCGUGUUAGUGAUAAACCGACAGUUUGUCGCUAGUGAUCGUUUCUUCUUUUUUCUUCCUACUUUUCUCUUUCUUGUUAAAGUACAUGUUUUUCCUUUUUUUCUUUUUAUUUUUCAAUUUCAGUCCUUGUGUUUAUUAUUGCUCUUUGUCAUCGUUCACUCAUUUAGAAAAGUUUUUUUAUUUUCUCAAUUCAGUCAUUAAAUUACAAUUUAUCAUACAUUGUUUUCUCCAAUUUGGUAUUUAUUUGCUUGAUUUGUCAUUUUUACCCCUGGAUUUUUUUGUUAAAGUUUUAUUAAUAUUCAAUUUCAUCAUUCAAUACUACUUGAAUACAGAAAGGUCCUUUAAAAGUCUAGACUUGAUCUCCUUUUUUUUGCUUGAUUUUCUUUGGACUUGAUUUUUUGACUUGGAUACCAUAUAAAUUUUUUGCUUGAUUUUCUAUUUUUUAUAUGUAAUUUGAAAGUACUGAUGAAUAUUGUUGUGGUUUAGUAGGAAUGUUGGGACAGUUUUUUUUUUCAUAUGUUUCCAAGCCUAAACAAGAGAUUUUAUGGUUUGAUUUUAAGAUUAGGGAUUAAGAAUAACAAAACUUAUGGCACUUUUUGGUCUCCUAAUUUUUAAUGCCAAAAAAACAAAUUUGACCGAAUCGAACCAAUUUGAUCUAAACCAGGUUUUGGUUCCGUCCGAGUCAUAUUCUCAGGAAAUAUCAUUUCCUGACUUGAUUAGAUUUUUUUGCUCAUAUUGUACUGAACCAAACUGUGAACACCCCCUACAACAACAAACAAAAACAACAAACAAGAAAUAAAGAUCUUGUUUACACCAAUAUCAAUUCUUCAACCAAUCUACAAAAGCAUUUUAUGAUAUGACAUUUUGCAAAUGGUUAUAACUCACGUCAUUUUCAUUUUAAUAUUGAAAAGACAGAACACUUUCCUCUUCUAUAGAAAGCUAAUGAUAUGACAUUCUUUACAAACAAAAUGUUAAGCAUAAGUCUAAAAGGCGAGUGUUUUUUAUUAUGCAAGGCUUUAUUGUUCAUCCUCUUGCACAUUGUUAUGAAUAGGUUGUGCAAAAUUUUUUAUUUUUUCAACAUGGUACUCGAACUUGUUUUUGCUGAUUUAGUUCUAAUUAAAGAAUAAUUGAUUUUGAUUGUUAUGAAAUCAUGGGGUUGAAAAAAAAAUGAUCGAAAUGAAAAAAACAUCAAACAUGGGUGGCGUGCCAUAAAUUUCACAAAAGAAGCAUUUUGGUCCCUUGACUUUAAAAAUCACGCAAAUUAUAUAAUUUCAGUACCUUAAUAUUUUUUCAAUUUAAUUUUGGUACAAAAGUUUAUUUUUUGUUAUUUUUUAGUUCUUGGCUGAGAGAAGAGAGAGAGAGGUCACUAGAUUCCGGCGACAGAGAGUGAAAAGUAUUUUUAACACCGAUUUAGACCACCAAAACAAAUGAUAUUUAUGUUAAAUGGUUUCAUUUGAUUAUGAAAGUUUAUAUUAGGUGUUUUUUACCUUUGAGUUUUUUGGUAAAAAAAACUUAAGUCCCAAUUUUUUAUCUACCACAGUGGCUGGAAAUUGGGCAAAUCAGAAGAUGUGUCAUCUAUCUCAACAGGCAACACAUCGUUUGAUUUUUUUCCAAUCAAUUUAAUAUGUGUCUCUAUUUUUGUUAUCAUUUUCUUCAAUAAAAAAUUACUUUAAUAAACAAAUUUAGCAAACACAGUUGAGUAAAUGUCUCGUCUUUCAAUAUUAAAUAUCUUGAUAAAUACAUGUCUAUUGAUUUUUCAAGUUUUAUUUUCAGGCAUCGUUGAUGACUUUUUAUUUAUUUAUUCGCACACAUAGUUCUGAUUUAUUUGAUUACAUAUAUGUUCAGAAAAAAUUAUUAGAAUUUAAAUUUUUUUAAACUACAAAAAUGCGUUAAAAAACCUAUACAUAUAAUUUUUUUAUAGGAAAUAAAAACACCUAGCCCGCGACAGAGCACGGGUCACAUAAUUCGUAAAUACUGAACACCAUCAAUUGCAUUGCCCCCAUUGAAUUUCCUCUCAAUUGUUGCAACAAUUAUAAGCAUGCAAAUAGCUUGAAGUGGAAUCAAAGUGUCAAAUACCCCUUAUAAAGUAAAAUAAAAAUGACAGGGUUGACUAAAAUUAAAGAACCCAUUUUAUCAACAUCAAAAAAAAUUAUUUAACCACUUUCACUUACACAAAAUAUAUUGGUUUCCUAAUUUAAAGGACAUUAUUUCCAUUAAAAAAAUAAAUAUAUUAUGUGUGUACCGUGCACGUGAUACAAUCAUUUUAACUUUAAUAACAGUGAAUGACAAAAUGGAGUAUAACAUAAUAUUUGGAUAUAAUUCAUUUAUUUAAAAAUUAAAUCAUAAUUUUAGAAACUUUAGUGAGAAAAUAGGCUAAAACAUAAGAACAACUUGACAACUGUUUUAAUGUCAGUUUAUAUCAUAAAUAUAUUAGUAGGUAAGAUACCACAACAACAAAAUACAAACCAAUACCAGUUGAUGGAUGAUUCAACAUAUAGAAUGCUCCGAUUUUGAGAAGAUCUACAUAAAAGUUGGCAUUUAUAAGAACAUCUAGAAAGUACACCAGCAGUUAAAUAAUUAACACAAUUAAAAAAAAAUACAGACAAAAAAAAUUGCACACCAAGUUACCAACAAUAACCUAUAAACUUUUCUUUUACUACUUUUUUUUUAUAUCCUAGACACAACAAAAAGAGGGAGAGAGAGAUUGAUGUCGGGUGGUUCGAGAGAGAGGAGAGAAUGAUAAGUUUUUUUUUUGUUGGAUUUGGGUGAAAGAAAAGUUAAUUGAAGUAGUAUUUAUACUCCUUCAAAACUCUUAAAAUCGAUGCAAAUUUGUGAGUUUGCAUUAUUUUGCCGAGUUUAUUGGAAUUGAGUUCGAUAUUACUAAUUUUCGAGUUUUUAAUCCAAUUUUGCAUACUAAAUACAAAUCAACUUAUAAAAUCAUAUGAUUUUACUAAUAAACUUAUAAUUUUAACAACCUUGAUUGCAAUAAUUAAUAAUGUCAAGCAUAGUCCUACGAAAUGAUCAUAUUCAUGAUCAUUCAAUCCAAUUAAACCAAGUUAUAGUCACAAACACCUUACUUAAUAUUAAAUGUAGUCGUGAUGGUAUAACCACACAAAUUAUAAGAAACUAAACAUACGACUUGUUGGAUAAAUAUUUUUUAAUAUAAAAAAUAAAAUAUAUAGGUUUUCUUAAUGUUGUUUUAUAUAAACAAAUUAUAAAUGUAAAUCAUAAAGCUUAUUCAUUCAUUUAAUUCGAUAAAUUAAAAAUUAUUUAUGCCAAUAAAUACAAGAAAAUACUUGUUAAUGAUAAUUAAAUAUUAAACUGAAAAAUAGAGAGAUAAAUAUGAGUUAAGAUACUUAAUAUCGCAACACAAGUUAUGUACCCGUCCGUGUUUGAUAAUUUUUUUAUUAAAAUCAAUUUUUUAGCCAGUCAUACGAUAAUAGAAAUAGAUAAAUACAUAAAAGCGAUUGAAUAAAAUCAUUAGAAAAAUAUUAUGCAAGGUUACACUUAUUAUAAAACAAAUGUUACCAUUUUACAUGAAAACCAAUUAAAAACUAUAUUAUAUUUAACCAAAUACUAAAUUGAAAAGUUGAGAAAUAAAUAUGGAUGCAGUUGUAUGAUAUCGAAACAUAGGUCAUAAAUUUAAAUGUAUUGAAUAACCUUAUUUACUGGAAUCAAUGUUUUAUUUAAGAAAAUGAAAAUAAAAAAGACACGCAUGGAAAAAUGAUUGAAUGGAACUAAAAAAAAAAGCAGUGCUGCACAAAAAAAUAAUACCUCCUGAUAUCAAAUUUUUUUUGAAAUCUUAUUCGUUAACCAGUCAAGAAUUAAAUCAUGUUUUAUUAAAAAACAUUAAUUUUUUUUAUUAAAUUUAAAAAAUACCUAUAAAAACACCUUAUACACCUUACUAAACCCAUUAAUGACCUUGAAUAACAAAAAAAAAAAGGCCAAUAACACAAAAUCAACUUCAAAAUAAAUAGAAAAACUUUUAGGCUUAAAUAUAUUAUCUUAUAGUAAGAAAAACAAAUAACACAGAAACUCUUUUUAUCAAAUUGAACUUGUAGACAUUAAAAUAAAAUUUUUUAUUAUUGUGACGGUUGUUAACUUGGAUUUUCUCUCUCUUUCAUUGCAUUCACUCCUUUUCUCCUAUCUCAAACAUAUAAUUAAAAAUAAUAAUAAUAAAGUUUUAGAUAAUAUUGGAUUUUUUAAAUAUCAGGCACUGAAAGUUAAUCAUUUAAAAAAUACCUUUUGCUCCAAUCCCAAAAUUGCAACCUAGUUUUUAUGAUUUUCUCAACUUGAUCUCCUUCUUUUAAUUUUUUCAUCAGUUUACGAAUCUGAAACAAUUGACCUUUUUAUCAUCUAAAUAAAAAAGAUGACAAUCAAAAUUUAAAAAAAAUCAACGUGCGAGUCUAAUGUGAAAUGCGAGAGGGGUUACACUGUACAUGGUUAAAGUAUUCUCCCCCACGUGGCUUUUUCCUUUAGCUUUUUUCCUAUAGCUGCAUAAUAUACAACCUCUCAUAAAUCUAGAGUAAUAUUUUUUUUUUAUCAUAAUUUUUUUUUUCAAUCUUGUCUUUUAUAUUUUCUUUUCAUUUUUAUAAAAGGAAUUAUACAAAAUAAAUUAUGUCUCCACAUUUUUGCCCUCAGUUGUUAUCAUUUAUGGAUCCAUCGAUUCCUAUAUAUUCAUGUAUUUAACUAUAAAAAAAUAUUUAAAUAAAAAAUUGAAACUUAACCAUAUUCAAAUAAUAAAACAAGAAAAGAAAAGGAGAUAAAAAAAACCCACACACCAAAUAAUAAUAUCCACUAAAUAUUUGACCCGUGUUUCAUCAGGGGUUAAAUUUUUUUUUUCUUAACAAAAAAAUUAUAUAUAGACCUUUUCAAUAUUUUUUUGCAUUUAAAAAAUUUCUAAGUGAAAAAAAAAAUAUACACACAUAUAAUUAAAUAAAUUGAAAACUAUGCGUUUUAAAAAGUGAAAAAAAAACCAUAAAUGACGAUUAAAAAUAAAAACGGGAAAAAUCAAGAGACAUGUGUAGAUUAAGAUAUUUAAUUUUGCAAUACGUGAAAUUUACACGAUUGUGUUUGCUAAAUUUGUUAAUUAAAAUAAUUUUUUUAUUCAAUCAAAUGAUAAUAAAAAUAGACACACACUAAAUUGAUUGAAUAAAAUAAAAGAAAAAAUAAUAAUAUGCAAGGCUGCAUAUAUUAAAAAUAAUUUUUGAAAAUUUUUUUUAUUUUAAAAAAUAAAGUUUAUCUAUACAAAAGAUUAAAAAAAUAUAGAUUAAUCAGAAAAACCUCCUAAAAAAUUAAAUACAUAAUCAAAAAAUAAUUAUUAUUUCAAAUAGGCUUUAUAUAUAACAUAAAAGAGAGAAAAGAUAUUAAUUUAAAUAUAAAUAAAAAUAAUAUUAAGAUUAAUUUUUAAAAAUAGAAACAAAAAAAAAUAUUUUUUCCAAAAUAAAAAUAAAGUGAACAAUGUUGUCCAUGGUAAAAUUUAUAGGAUGAACCUCGACCAUGAACUCGAUUGAAUUUAAUAUUUUUUCCUUUUAAAUUUAUAGCAAAUCUAAAAAAAAAGUAAACAAUAUUAUUCACAGUAAAACAUGAGAGGCGGAACAGUACGGCUGCACAAUGUUCAUUUCACAUAUUUUCCCUUGAAAUUUAUAUCAAAACCUUUUUAAAAAAUAAUGAUCAGUGUUGUCCACAAUAAAAUAUGAGAGGGAUGAACAAUGCGUUUACAUAAAAUUUACCUCACAUGUUUUAGUUUAUUUAAAGUAAACUCAACUAAGUUUAAUAUUUUUUUUAAUGUAUAAACCUAAAAUAAGUGAAUAAUAUCAUUUAUGGUAAACACGUGAGAGUGGAAACAGUAUAAUUAUAUAUUAUUAUUUAUAUAUAUAUUUAUCUUAAAUUUAUAAUAAAAAAAAUAAACAAUGAAUCCACGAGAAAACACGAGUGAUAAAUAGUACAGCUCCACAAUUUUCACCCCCGCUCACUUUUAAUUAUAAGUAAUAAGUAGAAAAAUAGAAAAACACUGUGGUGUACACGGUAUAUAGGUAAUAGCUAUACUGUUGUACAAAUUUGUCUUUUAAUAAAAUAGAAACUCUUUUCACACCCUUUCGUUCUCUAAAAUUCAUCAAACACAAAUCCUAAUCCCAAGAUCACUUAUGAAACCGUUUGGAACGCAGACUGUUGCCAAAAAAAAUUUAAUUAUUUUUUAAAAUUUAAUAUAAUUUAUAUUGUAUCAUUUUGAUUUGUUAAUAUAAAAAUAAUUUUUAAAAAAUAAAAAAAUAUUAUUAAUAUAUAUUUUAAUAUGAAAAAUUAUUUGAAAAACAAUUAUUAUCACACUACCAAACAUGCUCAAAAACUAUUUGGGAACACGUUGUAAAUAGCUUUUUUAAAAAAACUAUUUUUUUUAUUAAAAUUUAUUUUUAUUAAAAUUUAAUAUAAUUUGUAUGUUUUGAAUUGUUUUAAUAUAAUAAUAUUAAAAAUAAUUUUUAAAAAAUAAAAAAAAUAUCAUUUACAACCAUCUCAACACAAAAUAAAAUUAUCUCAAAAGCAACCUAACCAAACAUACUCAACAAUGAGCAAUGCAACAAUCAUCGACGAAAAGUUAAUCCCUCUCUCUCCCGAUCAAAAAUCAAAUUGAAUCCUUGGAACUCGAAAAAGAAAGCAAAAAUGGUGUUGGCACAGUUAGGAGGAAACAUAUCCCGAGCAAUCCAGCAAAUGAGCAAUGCAACAAUCAUCGACGAAAAAGCAUUAAACGAUUGCUUAAACGAGAUCACUCGCGCUCUUCUUCAAUCUGAUGUUCAAUUCAAACUUGUUCGCGACAUGCUAAUAUCAAUCAAAUCGUUGGGUGGAAACCUGUGCUGGUUUGCGCUGAUACGUUUAGAGCUGGUGCGUUUGAUCAGUUAAAGCAGAAUGCAACUAAAGCUAAAAUCCCAUUCUAUGGAAGGUAGUGAUUUUAAGCGGAGGAGAAUAAAUAAUGGGUUUUCCAUCAAUCAAUUAUUUACUUGUUGUUGUUGAUACAGUUAUAUGGAAUCAGAUCCUGUGAAAAUUGGUGUGGAAAGAUUUAAGAAGGAAAAUUGUGAUCUUAUAAUUGUUGGUACGAGUGGACAGCAUAAACAGGAAGCUGCACUUUUUGAAGAAAUCCGUCAAGUUUCUGAAGCAACGGUAUGUUAUUCUUUUAUUAUUGGUUUUGCAUGCUUCGUUGUUUUUAUUAUUAAUCGUUGAUUGUUAUUGCAGUAAAAUCUGAUUCUUUUUCGUUUUGUGUCUUCCAGAAACCCGAACUUGUUAUAUUUGUUACGGAUAGCAGUGUCGGUCAAGUUGCAUUUGAUCAAGCUCAAGCUUUUAAGCAAAUUGUUGCUGUUGGAGCUGUGAUUGUUACCAAAAUGGAUGGUCAUGCAAAGGGCGGUGGCACGCUUAGUGCGUUAGUAUUCUAGAGGUUGCUCUACUGUACCAAAACUUCCUUUUUUUUAAGCAUUUAUAUUGAUUUGUGGUUUACAUUCCAUGUACAGUGUUGCAGCGACGAAAAAUCCUGUCAUUUUUUAUUGGUACCGGAGAGCAUAUGGAUGAGUUUGAAGUCUUUGAUGUUAAACCUUUUGUUUGUCGCCUUCUAGGUAUUCUCGCCUUUGUUUUGAUGUUGUUCUGACCUCUGAAAUUUAUGUGGAUGUUUUUGAUUCUCAUAGUGUUUGCAUUGUUAUGAUCUUCCAGCUAGGUAUGGGUGACUGGUCUGAAUUCAUGGACAAAAUUCAGGAGGUUUUACCUUAAGGAUUAUGUAAUAGCAAUUCCAGAAUCUACUAAAAAUGGGUCCCAUUGGCCAGGUUCUCUACUAACUAUCCAGAAUCUACUAAAAAUGGGUCCCAUUGGCCAGGUUCUCUACUAACUAUCGGAACUCCCUUGUGACUGUGAUAGUAAGUGUGCUAGUGUAUGGACAGUUGAAUAACUUUUGGCCACCGCACUUACUUAGAGAAAAUCAUCUUAGGAGAGUUUUUGUGAUUUGUUGUUAAUUCCUCACCCCAGUUUUUCUGUCUUCCUUUUUUAGCUUUUUCAUGCUUCAGCAUGCAGAUAGUUGAUAAUUAUUAUGCAAGACUUUGUAGUCAGCUUAUUAGUAGAGCAAAACCUUUUUUUCCUUUCAUUUGAAUUAGAAACUGAAGCUGUUGGCAUUUGAUACAUAACAAAAGUACGAGGCGUUUUAUUGGUUCAUGCACAUUGACACCUGCUGGUACUGUUACAUAUGGCUUUCAAGAGUAUAGAAGUUGUACCCCAGCUAGAUACGAGAAUCUAACACAAGAAACCAGAUUCAGCGACAAUAGUGAUUCUUAUUAGUUUGCCUAGUUUAGAUACAGGUCCAAUUAAUUUGUUCCCAGAUUAUUUUAACAUCUUGUUUAACAAGAAUACCUCAACAAGUGAAAGAGAUGAAAAAUGAGAGAAAUUGCAAAGAGGACAAUGAUGCAUACGAGAGUGAGAAGAAGAUAAUGAAAAAGUACGGUAGACAAGGAGAAGACAAGUGGGAAAGUAUGGUAGACAAGGAGAAGACAAGUGGGAAAGUAUGGUAGACAAAGAUAGCUUACAAUACUUCCUAAUUAACAUUUUUCAGUUUCGUGAAUUCUUUAUUUGGUGACCUGUUUAAUUAAAAAAAGUGGGAAAGGUAGUAAACUGUUGCCCUGUCCUUGGUAAUAAAAUUUUGAGAGUAUGAUAUUAGUCUUUACAUCUUGGCUGAAUUUUUUUAUAUAUAUUCUCCCUUUACCAUUCUUCUCCUUCCCUAUUGAGUUGUGACUUUCAGUUUAAUAGUGUUCAGGUCACCUUUUUUAGGUAUUUUCAAUGCUUCCUGGAUUUAGUGCUGAAUUAAUGCCAAAAGGUCAUGAAAAGGAAAGCCAGGUGAAGAUUAAGCGAUACAUGACCAUGAAGGAUUCAAUGACCAAUGACGGUGAGUAAGUGCUAUUUGAUAUAUUCACAUUUCACAUUUAGCUCAUUGCUUUACAUCUUGGAUAUGCAUAACACAUUUUCUUGAAUGAAUAUAUAUUGGGUACUUUGGCUGAUCACUAUUUGUUGCUGAUGUGUUGCAGAGUUGGAUAGCUUGAAUCCAAAGCUCAUGAAUGAAUCACGAAUGAUGAGGAUAGCACGGGGUGCUGGCCGUCCAAUUAGAGAUGUGAUGGAAAUGUGGGAAGAGUACACAAGUGACUUGCUAAGGUCUGGAGCGAAAUGAAGGGGCUUAAGAUUCCAGAGAAGGGUGAGAUGAGUUCCCUGUCUAGAAAUAUGAAUGCACAGCACAUGAACAAAGUCCUCCCUCCACAGAUGCUGAAGCAGCAUGGUGGCAUGGGUGGCUUGCAAAACUUAAUGAAACAAAUGGGUUCGGCAAAAGACAUGACGGGCAUGUUUGGAGGCGGGGACAAGUAAAUGCAUGAUUGCCAACUGCAAGUUGAAAUGAAUUCCCAUGACUAUAACCUUGGCCUGUCAGGAGGAUGGCAAGGCAGAGUGUUACAUAUGCAAGCAAUGCUUCUAACAGUUUUGCAGGUACUUAUUCAUGAAGGAUAAUGCAUUUGACUUGGUUUUGUUUUUUCUCCUGCUGAUAUAGAGAGGUUGUUCUGUAGCACCUUCUUUUCCAGUUUAGUUUACCUGUUUUGUGUAUUUAUUUUACAUUGUUUGAUGACCUUUCUAACAGAUAUGUUACCGAGAAUUUUGCAUUUGUCACUUCAUCUCCAAAUCUGCUUGGGAUCUUUGCACGAAUCUGCAGGCUAUUAGAUCUUAGUCAGUUUAAUGACUAAUGGGGUGACUACUGACUAGUAAUCUUUCAUGGCCUGUAAAUAAGGGCCGAAUGCUAUCUUCCAAUAUAUGUGAAACAGUGUCUAGAAGGCUGGAGAGUCGGUAUUUAGAAAAAGAAAAAUAUUUUUAAAAAAAAUAUUUUCUUUUCCAAGAAAAAAAACAUUUUAAAAAGCAAUUAUUAUUACAAAAUCAAGAUUGAAUUUUUUUUGGUGGUCUUUUGUUUUAGAAGAGACACCUUACUGCAUUAUGUGAAUAUCCAAAAAUGGCAAAUCACCCCCGCAGUUUAAAACACUAUGCCUGCAAGUUAUAAUUCUUCAAUGCUAGAGGUAUUAGGUGUGGACGCUAUCUACCUCCAGAUUGCUUGAGACUUUUUCAGUGACUCUGCUAGCAACCACCCAAAAAUUGGUUAGAUUGCAACUCUUUUUUUUUUUUUUUUUAUUGUCAGGCAACGCUCAAAAAGUAUAAUUUGAGCUCGGAAAAGUUAACCAUCAAUGUUUAAAAUUUCUUGCAAAUGUUCCUAAGAUGUUUAUUUUCAUGGAAAUCCAAUGCCUUUCGGCCUCAAUUAGUCAAUGUACCAUAACGAUCGCAUGAGAAUCUGAACAUUUAAUGGCAGUGAAAAAACCCUUUAUGCAAGAACUGUUAUUAUUAAAUUAAAAACAAAUAAGAUGCACUAAUGUUUUACUGUUGAUCAAGACUAAUUAUACUACGGAUUACUAAAAUGUAAUGUUUUUGUUCUCCAUGGAAAAAAUCAAUGAACGGGGAAAAAUGGUUUUUUCACUAAGCUUGUUUGACACUAUCAAAAUUAAUCGGGGUUAAAUUGAUAUUUUUAAUUUUUUAACACAUUAAAAUAAUUUAAUUAUAUUUAAAAGUAAAUAUUUUUAAACUAGAGCCCAAAAAUUCUUCAGUCUUUUCAUUUUUUUUAAAACAAUAAAAUUACUAAAUUACUUUUAAAAACAAAAACAAAAGUUAUGAAACUUGCUUCCAUGAGGUUUUUUAUAUUUUCAUUAGAUUGAGAGACAAAUUGAUGUUUUAAUACAUAUAAAUAUUAUUAAAAAAAUAAUUGACACAUGCAUUACACGCAAUAACACGUGGGUUAUGAUCACUCACUUGUGGUUGAGCGUGUGGCGUUGCUCGAUUGCUAAAUACCGACUUCCAGAUACCGACUUCCAGGGUGACAUUUGAAUCUUUUUGGAGACCCUCUAUUCAUGGGCGACACGUGUUGGGACAAACCUCUAAUUUGGCGUUGAUGGCUUUUUCUUUCCCCUUUCUUUUUUUUCUUCGUCUCGAUUCUCAUGUCCUCUAAUUUUUUAAAGUAGCCCUUCAAAUUAUUUUUCUUUAGAUUAAAUUAAUGUUUUUUUGAUUAUUGUUUAUUUUAUUUUAAAUAAUUUAUAAUAUUGGAUUUUAUUUUUAAUUUUAUCGUCAUUCGAUUUUUUCAUCUAUCACAUUUGAUCCUUAUUCUUUUGAUUGUUAUUUUUUAUUUUUUUAAUCUUGAUCUUUUUCUUAAUUUUUUUAUUUUCAAUUUUGUCCCAUAUUAUUUGAUUUCAUUUAAUUUUUACACUAAAUUUGGUCAACAUUAUUUGAUUGCUAUUUUUUUAUUUUUUUAUUUUCUUAAUUUAUUUUAUUUUUCAAUUUUAUCCCUCAUUGUUUCAUUUCAUUGUUUUUUAUACCAGAUUUGAUCUCCAUUCUUUUAAUUGCUAUUUAUUUUGUUUUUUAAUUUUGGAUAAUUGAGAAUUUUGCUUCUUGAUUUUUUUAGGUUUACCUUUUAUAGGGUAAUCGGUCUCGUGAAUCAAAUUACGAGUUUUGAAAAUUAGCCCGAAUUGAUUUCAGUUUUUUUUUCUAGAUUUUUUUUAAUUUUAUCUUUCGACAUUAAGUUAUUGGGUCUUUAACUUUUUUGAUUUUUUUUAUUUUUUCCAUGUAUCUAUCCUGAUCUUAUAUCCUGGAUCACAAGUUAGUCGAGUUAACCCGAGUCAACUCAGGUUUUUUGAUUUUUUUUCUUUUUAGUUUGGCUUUUCAUUAUUUAGUUUGCUUUGAGAGUUAACCUCCACUGUUUUAUUCAGCUUCUUUUAUGCAGGGUUAUCCUGACCUCACAAGCAAACUGCGAGUCUAGCAUGCUAAUUAGAGUUAGGUUUUUUUGUUCUUUUUUAAAAUUGAUUUUUUUUCAAUUUAUCAUUCAACAUUUGAUUUGCUGGUAAUUAAGCUUUAAAUUUUUUUUUCUUUGUAAAUUUGUCUCGUUUUCAUUUAAUUUUUGUUUUGUUAUCAAAUAAUAUUGUUGAUAUUUUUUGAGAAUAUUUAAAAGAUAUCUUUUUAUAAUAUUAAUAAACAUUCAUUUUUUUAUUAGUCAUUGUUUAUUUUAUUUAUUUGAUUAUUGUUGGGUUUUUUUGUUAUAAUCAUAUUAUUAAAAUAUUUAAGUUUAUUGAAUGUAUUUAAAUUAAUGAUCCGGCCCCAUUUUUUAUUUUUUAUUUUGCUUUUUAACAAACAUUAUAGUCCCUUGGAGUAAAAAAAUCUGACCUUGUCUUGUCUACGUGCAAUCAGUUUUCAAAAAGUGUUGGCCCUUGUUUAUGGCUCAAAGUGAGACACCUGAACAUGCCGGCAUAGUCUCGCGGAUGACUAGAGGACAAGUAGCAACACAUUUUUGCUGUUAGAAAUGAUCAAAUACACAAACACAGCACCUUGAGUACAAAAUAUGAUGAUAUCAAGCGAUGUUUCUAUUUUUCUUAGGAAGAUUACAGACAUCAUGCAAAAUUUCUGACAAAACAGCAAACUUCGUAGAUAAACAAAUACAGUAUCUUGAGUACAAAACAUGAUAACAAGGGAGGUUUCUAUUCUUCUCAGGAAACAAAAUUUCCAAAAUUUGGAGAACUGGUGAAUCAUAAAGACACGGGAUGAGAAAACCAGAGAAGGAUAAUUGUUAAGACGGUAUAACACCAUUACCACCGAUGAAUUCUCCUCUUGCAUCCCAGGGACGCUUUUCAAAAGACUUUCCAAUGAUGCUGCGCUUCUCGUUUAUAGACCCAUCCUCGCGGCGAUAUUCUGGAAAGUAAUCCAAAAAUCCUUUACUGCCUAGUUCAUCAAGUCCAUUGAAGAGGAAGUUUCUAACCAAGUCCUACGGAAUAGAUGUGAAGCGAGCAUUGCAUCAGUACUUGGUGGCAAACAAUGCAUAAGAAAGAUUUGUUGAGAGUGAUUAUACCUUUGCAAGCCUUUCUCCAAUCAACCUUUUAAGAAUUCCAUGGCCAGGAUCCUGCUUCCAGAAUUUGCAUUAGCCAAACAUGUUGGACCAGAAAAGAGAGAAGUUUGAAACGGUGCCAAGAAUCUAUCUGCUUAAAUACUGUAAUUAUGGAAUUACAGUACUACAUAAAUGAUAUAUCUAUCUGAAGGUACCAGUAUGCCUAGUCAGUUCUGAGAGUCCGAGAAAGAGCAUGGGUUUGGAUAGGGCCUUAAUGCUAACAAGUCUAGGUACAAAGUUGAUUCUUUCCAGGCGUUUUCUUUCCUAAAACUGGGUAACCAAUUGGAAUUCAUCCUGCCUUGAAGCUAAAAUCCCUCUUCAAGAUGUUAGAUGCUCGAACAACGUUUUGUGGCAGAAAGCAUCUGUUUCUUUUUUUUAUUCAUUUUAUUCCAAAUGAAUUGCGAACUUAAUUAAAAUAAUAUAGAAAACAAGCAUUUUUCUGUCUUUCUUUUACUUCAAGGAACCAAAUUUCUUAUACAGUUAACCUAGAGAUGGCAAUUUGGCUCAAUUACGACCCUAUUAUUUUUUAGUAUUCAAAUGACCAUUUCUAAUCUAUAAAGCUAAAAUGCAUGGGCUUAAAAAAGCUUAUCACUGCCCAGCUGUUUGGCACUCAAAUUACAGUCACAGAUCUUACUUGAAACAUUUUCAAAUGAAGAAGAGUAGAGAACUGAAGACAUGCCAUGAUUACUUCCAAGCAUCUAAGCUUUUUUAAGUCCUACAGCCAAUGAGAAGAGACUGGCAGAUAUGAUGGGCCACAUGAAGAUGAGAUCAAAAGGGGAAAAAGACAUUAAAUAAUCACCUUUUCUUCUCUCCACGUUAGAUACUUAUGUUGCGCUUCACGAUUGAAUGUAAUAUGAGAUGCAUCUAUCUCCUCUGGUGCUUGGUCAAUCAGUUCAAGCCAUGCCUAAAAGAGAAGAGGAGAAUGAUAAUUGAGCAGCUAAAAUUGGAAUUCUACAUUUUAUUUGACACAUGAACUGCUAAAUCCAUGUGGAUUCCCAUCCCGUUUCCAGUUUAUAAUUUAUAUCUCAUCAUUAGCAUAUUAGCUUAAAUGUAAUUUAAAGCAGAAGCUAAAGCCGUUAAGCAACCUUGUAGUACUCUGUGAAAGCAGAAUAUAAAGCAUCAUAACUAUCCUGACUUGGAGGAAACUUGGUCCAUAUCACGAUCGGUGAGAAAAACUUCAAGGACUCGCUUGUGAGCUUUCCUCCCCAAGGAAAAAGCUGCAUGAAAUCUGUGUUCAGUCACCAUACCAUUAAUUUUAGACUGGAUAAAGAAACAAAUAACAAAUACCAUUGUGUGUAAUGUUCCACAAGAGGCAUUGAAGUUACCUUGCAAUACUUGAGGCCUAAAGGAAUUAAUCUCUUAAAGUACUUUUCCUUGUAGUCUCUUUGGUCAAUGACAUUGUGCAAGGGGUUGAGGUCCCUACAAUGGGUUAAAAGUUCCAGAAACCUUAGCACGUCAGUAAUUAAUUCCAGCUUACAGGAAUAAAAUCUUAAGUUCGAUGCCACAAGAAAAAGGACAAAAGAUGGCUCCUGGUUGAAACAAACCAACAAAAGGCAUGCAUGCAAAUCAAACUAGAAAGCGACAAUUAUUUUGUUUGUUUUUACGUUUCAAAAGCGUUUUUGAAAAAAAUUAUUUAUUUAUUUAUUGCUUUAAAUUAAUAUUUUUUAGUGUUUUUAGAUCAUUUUGAUAUAUUGAUGUCAAAAAUAAUUCUUAAAAAAUAAUAAAAAUUAUUAUUUUGAUGUACUUUCAAGUGAAAAACACUUUGGAAAGCAACCGCUACUACACUCCCAAACACCCAUUGACGAGCUUCAUUUCUUUUUCUUAUUCCACAUCAGAUUUGCGCAUAUAAAUUUCCAAGAGAAAUUCAAAGCAAUAGAAUGAAAAAAGGAAGCUGAACAGGAAAACAAAAAUCCAAACAGAAGCAUAAAUAAUUUUCCAUAUAAAGAAUAAAACAGGGUUUAGAAAAGCACAGAGAAAGGAAGAGAAGGGAGCUUACAACACAAUGAUGUUUAUGGUGGCAGUGGAGAAAAAGUUGGCACAAAAUAUGGGUACAUCAAAUUCAGGUCUGGCAAAAACAGCAAAAUCUAAAAUCUGCAUAAAUUUUCAGAGGUCAGUUAUUACAGAGGGAGGGAAACAAAAACGUUCUACGCCUCCAUCAAGCCAAAGAAUUUUUGUGGUGCUAGACAACGUGCAUAUAACCGUGCUGGAUACCUUUUGCACAGGAGGAUAAGAAUUUAACAUGAAUAGGAUAAGAGCAUAUUGCACUCAUGCUGCCAUGAGCCUUGUGAAGAACAAAUUAAGCUAAAUGAAUAUGAGUAGCAUUCCAAAAAAUCUCAAUAAUUUUCUUAAGCUAUAAUAAUAACACACAUGCCAAGGAUAAUUAAUGCCAAGUACAGGAGAUACUUCUUAUGCUGGCAGACAAAUGGACACAAACAAAGUCCAAAUAAUGGCAGUCAGUAACUUAGCUGUAAAAUGUAUAAUCGCAACAAAGAGCUCAAAUUAACGUGAUGCACUCAUGAGUUUUUCCCUCUAACACUUGAGGGUGCAAAAGUACAUAAAAGCAACAAGCUUGCUAGAGAAUGGUACCUGCAUCGCUUCAUUUUCAAUGCUCAAACUACGUAGGAGUCUGAUUUUGGGAGCUUGGAAUGAAAGCAUUUGAAGCUCUGUAGUUCCGUCCAUCGCAGUCAUGGAACUAUAUUUUUCCUAGACUCAAAAAAAGUUGUUCUUGUGAUACAUGUAUGUAAUCAUGAAAUAACAUUUAAAAUAAUUGAUUGUUUUUCAGCUGCCAAAGAGUUCGUUUCAUAGAAGCACAAAGAAUUUAUUUUAUUUUAUUUUGUUGAAAUUCAGUUUGCAAUGAGCAAUCAAUAACAGAAGAACCACAUGUUGUUUUUCCUUCUGCAGAAGCAAGAAGGCACAGUCAUCUGAAACAUAGCACUGAAAUAACAAAGGGUUCUUGACUCUAGGGUAAUCGAGUCUGUACUGGUGUCCUGAUGCUGUAUAAACCUUGAUAGCAAAUUGGAGAGCGAAUGAGAAACUAUUUUCAACUUUAUAACCAUCAAAGUCCAUAUUUGCACAACGACCAACAUCGAGUACAAUAGCCAAAAUAUGCAAGCAAAUCAAAACGGAAUCUUUUGGCUUAGAUAUUAAGCAUUCACUCUGCUAUAAGUUGCUGAAGAAAGACGCUCCAUCCCUUGCUCAAGUUUAACUCACGUUUUUGAAACAAAAUUCGACGAUGCAUAAAAUAAAAGAGGAAUUAAGUUUAAAAGAAAAAAAAAAGAAAAAAAAGAAGAAGAGUGUCUAAGCCCUUGGAAACCGAACAAACGAAACGACGAAAACGCACAUCUGGCGUAAGAACGAUACGAAGAUUAUACAUAUAAAAAAGGAUUAACAUAGACUUUGAAGGAUCAAAUGGCCCAAACUAUGACAAAUCACAGAAACAUUUCUAUGGAUCAGUCACCUCAAUUCCCAAGUUACAGACCAAAAAAGUUGCGAAAAGCUCUUAUAUAAUUCAAAAGCCAAAACCCAGCUUCAUUUUCAACCCUCUGAAACCCAAAACUGAGGAUUUAAAAAUAAAAACCCGAGGAGAAGGGCUCAAUUCAAAAGGCAACCCAUUUCUGCUUCCAGGCAAUGGAAUCCAUAAACACAGCAAGCAAGAAAGUGAAGUAAUACCUGGAGAGGAGAAGGGACCAAAAGGGCGUGUCGUUUGGUUUCGUUGAGAGCAAAAUGAAUGAACUUGUGGUAAGAAAAAGAACCUGCAGAGACUUUCAAGACACGAUGAGGUUUACACUUCUUGCUUGCGAAAUUAGUGGUGAUGCUACUAAAGAUUAAGCUGCUGGUUAAUAAUUGAGGUUUUAUUAGUGAAGAAGAUAAGCGCGCAGUUUGCAAAGAAGAACAGAAGUCCAUUGAAGUGAAGCUUUCACUGAAACUCUUAACACAUGAGCUCACCAUUUUCUUCGACAAAAGUGCUUCGUUUCUGUUGUUUACUGUAUUCUAACAUCACAUGUUGUCCUUGGCAAGUACUUUUUACUCCAUUUAUUUAUUCUGCACCUUUUUUUAGGCAUCGAAAUCGACGUUUCUUUCACUUACUUGUUGUAAUUUGUUUUUUACUCUAAAUCGAUAAAUAAAUAGGCAUGAUUUUAGCAUGUAUGUUAAAAAUAAUAUAUAUAUAUAUAUAUUGUUAAAUUUAGAUCAUUGAAUUUAUUGAUUGUUUAUAAUUUACUAGGCCUGGCGCUGUACACAAGUUAGAGCAAAAAAAAAAUUAAAGCAUUAAAAAAAAAUAGUAGUGACAUGUUUCUAAAAAAAUAUAAAUUUUAACUCUAAAUUAAGUAAUAUUUUUAUUUAAUAUAAAGAAGGAAAAAUAUUUGGUCUAUCUAGGAUAACAUAGAUUGACCUUUGAAAUUUACAAGGGUAAUAUUGAAAAAAAUAAAAUAAAAAACUCAAUACCGAAUUAAUUUAAUAUUAAAGAACAAAAUUGAUAAAAAAAUAACAUUUAAUUAAAAAAAACUAAGUAAACUCAUGUUGCAAGAAGUAAAUUCAUGAUGCAAAUCAUGUACAUCAUCAGAUUCAGUAAAUUUUUAUCCACAUGAUAUUUUUUUGGUAUGAAACAAUAUAUUUUCUAAAAGUUAAAAAAAAAGGUAAUAGAUACUGGAGCCGAGAUAAUAAAAAUAGAUUAAAUUUUUUCACUCUAAAUCGAUAAAUAAAUAGGCAUGAUUUUAGCAUGUAUGUUAAAAAUAAUAUACAUACAUAUAUAUAUAUAUAUAUAUAUAUAUAUAUAUAUAUAUAUAUAUAUAUAUUGUUAAAUUUAGAUCAUUGAAUUUAUUGAUUGUUUAUAAUUUACUAGGCCUGGCGCUGUACACAAGUUAGAGCAAAAAAAAAAAAUUAAAGCAUUAAAAAAAAAUAUUAGUGACAUGUUUCUAAAAAAGUAUAAAUUUUAACUCUAAAUUAAGUAAUAUUUUUAUUUAGUAUAAAGAAGGAAAAAUAUUUGGUCUAUCUAGGAUAACAUAGAUUGACCUUUGAAAUUUACAAGGAUAAUAUUGAAAAAAAUAAAAUAAAAAACUCAAUACUGAAAUUAAUUUAAUAUUAAAAAAUAAAAUCGAUAAAAAAAAUAAUAUUUAAUUAAAAAACCAAGUAAACUCAUGUUGCAAGUCAUGCACAUCAUCAGAUUCAGUAAAUUUUUAUUCCAAAUAUUAUUUUUUAUUUAAUAAUAUAACAAUAAAACACAUGAUAUUUUUUUUGGUAUGAAACAAUAUAUUUUCUAAAGGUAAAAAAAAAGGUAAUAGGUACCUAGAGUUGAGAUAAUAAAAAUAGAUAUUCUAAAUUGAUAAAUAAAUAGGCAUGAUUUUAGCAUGUAUGUUAAAAAUAAUAUAUAUAUAUAUAUAUAUAUAUAUAUAUAUAUAUAUAUAUAUAUAUAUAUAUAUAUAUAUUGUUAAAUUUAGAUCAUUGAAUUUAUUGAUUGUUUAUAAUUUACUAGGCCUGGCGCUAUACACAAGUUAGAGCAAAAAUAAAUAAAUUAAAGCAUUAAAAAAAAUAGUAGCGACAUGUUUCUAAAAAAAUAUAAAUUUUAACUCUAAACUAAGUAAUAUUUUUAUUUAAUAUAAAGAAGGAAAAAUAUUUGGUCUAUCUAGGAUAACAUAGAUUGACCUUUGAAAUUUACAAGGAUAAUAUUGAAAAAAAUAAAAUAAAAAAUUCAAUUCCGAAUUAACUCAAUAUUGAAGAAUGAAAUCGAUAAAAAAAUAGUAUUUAAUUAAAAAAAACGAAGUAAACUCGUGAUGCAAGUCAUGCACAUCAUCAGAUUCAAUAAAUUUUUAUCCCAAAUAUUAUUUUUUAUUUAAUAAUAUAACAAUAAAACACAUGAUAUGUUUUUGGUAUGAAAUAAUAUAUUUUCUAAAAGUAAAAAAAAAGGUAAUAGGCACCUGGAGCCGAGAUAAUAAAGGUAGAUUAUUAAUAGCAAAUAGUGAAAUUGCAUUUUUUUAGGUUUUAGUUAAAUAAAAAAAAAUAGACCAUCAAUGAUGAAAGAUGAAAUUGAAUUUUUUUUAAAACAAUUAUGGACAAAUAAGGUAUUAAACAAAAAAACAAAUAGUAGCCCAGAUAUUGUGGAUUAACCCAUUAAACUCGAUAACAAAUAAUAAAAUCAAUCAGUUCAAUAAUUUGUUUUAUCAUUUUAAAAAAAACAAAACAUAAAAUAGAAAAAAAAGCACCUAGGUUGCUUGGCAUGAGCGUCAAAACAAAACAACCCAAGCACAUGGGCCUUCUAGCCCACACCCGAGCUUAUUUUGUUUUUUAUUAAUACUUUUUAAAGAAAUGAUGACCUUCAUAUUUUUCUAUUUAAAAAUAGUAGACAUCACAUUUUCUGGUUCUAUAAAUUACUUGAUAUAAAUAAAAUAUAUUUAUUAAAACAUUUAUAGCAUGCUAAAGUCCUUAUUGGUCAAUAACAAUAAAAUUUAACCAAAUAUUAUUUAACUACUUUAACUAUUUAUAAACAUAAUAUAUUAAAAUAAUAUUUUUUAAAAAUACUUUUUAUUUUAAAAUAUAUUAAAAUAUUUUUUAGAUUAUUUUUACUUUUAAUAUAUUAAAAUUGUAAAAAAUAUUUAUUAAUUUAAUAUUUUUUAAAAUAAAAAACAUUCAUGGUAGUUAUCAAAGGCAUCAUUCAAUAGCACGUCGCAGGGCACCAAGUCAAAUACGAAACAGUCCCAAGACAAUAGCUAUACCAUAUUUAUUAAAUUUGGACUCGUCACGGGACAACUCAAGACUCGAGACCCGAUAGUUGGAUUAAUAUAGAUUAGGUAAAAGACUAGGACGGGCAAAAUCUAUUUGACCGGAUUGUUUUUUUUUUCCUUGCAAAUAUCUUUUUUUCUAGCUAGAUAUUUUUUAUAUAUAUAUAUUUUUUAGUUGGUUAUUAAUUUUUUUCAAAGUUUAUUAUAUAAACACUAAAAGAAUAUUUUAUUUUUUUAAUGUGGGAUUUGAAGUCUUUUAAUAUAUAUUACAAAAAAAAAAAUUAUGUUUUUUUAAUAUGGGAUAAAAAACCUUAUUGGUUUAAAUGCUUUAACUUAAAAGAUUCAGCUUAAAAGGAUAACAUACUAACAUAAUAUAUUUUCAAUGUGCGAUAAAAAACCUUUUAAAAUAAUCUUUUAAACUUUAUUAUUUAUAACAUGUAUAGCCUACACUCACAUGAAUUGUUUUUUAAUUUUCUUCAUAUGAAAUAUUAAAACUUCAAUUUUUUUUUAAUUUUUCCGGGUUGACCCGGGUCAACCCGUGUAACCCGGGACCCAGAUCCUUGGCCGGGUCAAUUCCCUAUUCGGGUUUGAUAACUAUGAGCUAUACCGGAGUUUGUACUAUUAAAAGACAUGUUUGUUUUUGUAUUUUAAAAGUAUUUUUUUUAAAAAAUGAAUUUGUUUUUUAUUUUUUUUUUACUUUAAAUUAAUAUAUAUAUAUUUUUGUUUUCAAAUGUGUAUUGAUAUCAAAAAUAAUUUUUUAAAAAUAAAAAAUAUUAUUUUAAAAUAUUUCUAAAUUAAAAACACUUUAAAAAAUAACCACGAUCAGCCUUCCAAACAACUCAUCUGUCUUUUUUCUUGCCUUACCAGGGAGAAUUGGGAGCCGUGUUUGAGGUGUAUCCUUGAAAUCUUCCUCUGCAUGAAUUGAUUUUGACAUCCACUUGUCUGCAGGCUUGUUUUGGUGUGGUCUGCUUGCAAACUUUCUACACAGGUAAAUCUCUUGAAGGACUGUUCAUCUAUUUUGUGAGGGAAGGCAGCUUUCCUUCGAAACAUUUCAACACCGAAGGCUCUUUUCCUUUUCAGGAUUAAUGUGCUCGUACAGUCGCCGUGGAUAUUUCAGAUUAGUGCCACUGUCAGUAACUCACUGAUACUGUUCCUGUACAGUAUCAGGAGCAAAAAAUGAGUAUCUUUUUCGCACUUGUAGAACACAUCCCCUCAGGUGGAAAAGGCAUUGAUGGAAAAAGUUGCUCUGAAGUGCGUUGCUCACUGCUAUUUAUAGAUAUGUACCUCGAGAAUGCAAGUUAGCAUUUUAGACAAGAGCACAGGCUGAGGAAAAAGCCAGAAGAAAAUAAUCCAGAAGAGGAAGGGCUGUGGGAGAAGGAUCAAAUUGUAGCAAAGGAUUCACAGUGCCCCUGACAUUAGAAAAUAAUCCUUAUUCUGUUUUUGUUUAAGAUUUGUCACUUAUUCUUUUAUAUUGUUAUUUUUAUUUUGAAACCUUUUGUCAAAUUGAGUUUUGUUUUUAAUUUCCCCCUCUACUUUGGAUUUAUUAAGAAUCGAGAGUCAUAAUUUUUUUUUAAUUAAGUUGCAUCAAGUUUAUGAUAAAUAUCAUGAGUUUAAAAAGUUAAUUCAUAUAAUAUUCAUCUUUUAUUUAUUUAUUAUUGUUUUUUUUAUUUUACUAUUUGAAUUUAAAUUUUAUGAGGUUAUAUUAAUCUCUUUAUCUUAAUCAUCAAACGAUUUAUUUGUUUAACAAGCGUUCACUCUAGACUUUUUUUUGGGUUAGUUCUUUCGGUUUCAUCAUUUAUUAAUUUUUUUUUGCAUUUUGCUUCAUAAUUGUUUUCACUUGCCUUUUAUUUAUCUGAUUAUUAUUUUGAUUGAAGUAAGUUAAUCUGCGUUUAUUGAUUAUUUAUUUUUAUUAAUUGAUUUUUUUAAAAAAAAUUAAUUCAUCCACAUUAAAUUUAUUAAAAAUUAAAACUGAUAUAUAUAUUUUUUAAUUUGGUUUCUAAUUUGUUAUCUAACCUGAAUAGAUUACGGGUUUUUAUAGAUGCACUCAGGCUUACUUAGUCAUAUCCCCUCCUUUUUGACGAUUUUCUUCCUACCAUGCUUAAUUAUAUUUGAAAUGUAUCUUUCUUCUUCUCUUUUCCUUUCGUAAAUGCUUUUUAUUUUUAUUUUUAUCAUGAUUUUUUUUUGUCAUUUUAUUCUAUUCCAUCGAGUCAAUGAAAUAAUCGUGAGUUUUUGUUACGUUUUUUUGAAGCACUUAUAAUAUCUUUACAUUUUUAUUUAAUGCUAAGAUUUAUUUUCCCUUAGCUCGGUGUAGGGUAGGCAUUAGGACGUUAUAAUUACAGUUUUUCAAAGUGUUUUUUAUUUAAAAGUAUAUUAAUUUUUUUUUUAUUUUUAAAAAACUAUUUUUAACACCAACACAUUAAAAUGAUUUAAAAAUAAAUAAAAAAAUAUUAAUUUAAAACAAAAAAAAAUAAUUUUUUUCCUUCACCUUGUUCUCUCCCGUAUCUUAAGUUUUUUUGUUUUACAUUUACGUACCUGUUCAUUGAAGGAUCCCCACAUAAUCAAGAGUACUUAUUUUGCAGGUAUACAACCACCUUCUUCACCUUCGAUCAAUUUCCAUCCAGCCUUAGAGUUUCACGACUUCAUCGUGUUUCACCAUGGCUUGGCUAAGCAACGGCAGCAACAAGUGAUCAAUAUAAAUACUAUAAUAUUCCAACAAAGUUCCAAUAGCCAAAGGGAAAAUAACAUUCUUUGAUUUAAUUGUAAAGUUCAAAUAAAUCUUACAAAUGUAUCAAAACGAAAUAAAAAUAAAAGGGGAUUAAAUCUGAAAUAAAAACAAAAUAAAAAACAUUUAAAUGAAAAUUAAAAUAAAAAAUAAAUUUAAAGUUUUCAAAAGAAAUCAGGAUGAGAAACAUGCAAUAAUAAAAAACAAGAGAACUAAAUUAGAAACUUAAAAAAAUAGGAAGGCAUCGUAGAUUAUUUUUUAUCAAGCGGCUUCUUUUUUGAGAAGAAAAGAAAGGAAAAGACGGUCUUAGCCGCACCAUUUCAUUUGAAAGGAUGCUCUAGGAAUUCUAAUGCCGUUAUGGGUUGUCAAUUUCUGACACUGUACAACUCUGCACGCGCCAUUAGAAGUGUACAGAAUCACCCGACAAACACACGCGUUAAAUAUUUUUAUACUUAUUAAAAUAUCAAAUUAUUCAUAACUUGACCUGGUCUGGUUAUAACUAAAAAUAGCACACUGUAGAAAUCCUGAUAAGGAUGCACUGUCCUCAAAGCAUGCAGCAAUCAAUAAACACCCAUAAUCCCACGGAUAAAGGAUGUUCCAAGAACUCAUAAGAACCGACAAACAGGCAACGAGGAGAAGACGAACGUAUAAGGAGAUCAGAGCACCAAAAGAUCAGACAAACAGGAACAGCAAACCAGAAGGAGAGCAGUUCGUCAGUACUGACACAGCAUGAAGACCACACAAACCUGCAUAUAUAUAUAUAUAUAUAUAUAUCCCAUCAAAUCCAUUUAAGUUAAACCAGCAAGAUGGUCUCAAAGAACCCAGCAUAAAAGAACAAGGAAACAAAAGAUAACGAAAAGAAAGCAACAAAAAUGGGCAAAAAGAAGCACCAUCAGGAACAAUGACAGAGAAAUAGAAUGAACAGAAAAACCAAUGAGCCAGACCUAAGACGGAGGCAUGAAAGAGAGUAAAAAGGAGAAGCAGAUGAACCUACCUACGCGACCCAAGCCAAAAAAAAAAAACAGAGAGAGGAUGUGAAAGCAUGGGAAGCCCUAGGACAACAGUAGCGUGAUAUAACAAAAAAACAAUGAAACAGAACCUGAAAUGAUAAAAACUUAAAAGGGCAAGUAAAGUCCAUCUAAAAUGAACAAUAAAACUAACCAAACCAGAAGAGUACUGAAAAUCACAAACUUGUCAACAACCACACAGCUUGUGAGCGCAAAAAAAUGAGAGGCCUGGAACUGGAAUUCCCCAGUCAACAGUCUAGAUCAUGCAGACGUCCAAUCAAACCCAAUAAUCAGCAGCUCUUCCAAUGUUAAAGAGCGGCCAAGUGGGCAUUGCAUUUAAUGCAUAAUCAUGAUCCCGGGUCGUUUUCUCUAAGGUAACAGACACGACCGAAAUAAAAUAACCCCACCCACAGCCAUUUUAAGUUGUGUUUUUUUAAGGUUAACGUUGUUGUUGGUCAAGUUACAUGGAUUUUAAUUAAUUUUAUUGAUUUUAAAAUUAAUAAUUAUAUAAAUUUUUAAUGACAUUAAAACUUAUAAAAUUUAAAUCCAUGAUUUUUAAAAAACAAAUUUAGAAUUUGAUUAGUUAAGUUGAAGCUGAACACACAACACCCAAAAAACCCAGCCCUCCAAGGCUCGAAAGGAAGCGCCAACAACCCAAGGCGCGAUGAGAGCAAUGGAAAGCCGCACCGUUAAGAAAAGCAAACCCAGCCGAGAAAAAGAUAAAGUCGCCACCAUGACUGAACCACACUGCACGGUGAAUGGUUGGUAAUUAUAACAGCGAUAAUAAUUUAAAGUAUUUUUUAUUUAAAAAAAUAUUAAAAAAAUAUUUUUUUUAUUUUUUAAAAAUUAUUUUUAAUAUUAAUCAAUCAAAAUAAUCUAGAAAUAUAAAAUAAAAAAAACUUUAAUAAAAAAAAUUCAAAAUUUAAGGGCUAGAAUCAUCCCACAACCUUGGAAAGAUGAGGCAACUAGAUGUAUUGUGCAAUUCCACGGUUAACUGAGUUAUGGCCCUAUGGGAGCAGUUUUUGUCUUUGCGGAAUAAAUCGUGAUUUUUCAAAUUAUGAUUUUUUUUAAAAUCUGAAAUUAUUUUUUUUUAAUUGUUUUGAUAUAUUAAUAUUAAAAAUAAUUUUAAAAAAAUAAAAAAUAUUAUCUUAAUAUAUUUUUUUUAAAAAAACAAUUUAUUUAAACACUCUAAAACACCCCUUAUGUACAGUAUCGAUCCACGUAGUAUUUUUCCAUACUGUUUAGAGUUUUUUUUUGUUAAUUUUUCACUGGACAGGAUGUGCCUUUGAUACAAAAAGAAAAGGAGAAGAUGCGCCGUGGUGCCCAGAAAGCAAUAAAUGGUUCAACAAUUGGAUUAAAAUUCAUAAGUUGAUAUUGUUGAAUAAUUAACGACUGAAUAUCACCAUGUUUUUUGUUCACCCAAUAUCAAGAUUUGUCACUCCUGUAAAAUGAGAAGUUGAGACAAGCAAAGAAGCUUGUUUACACAUGGUACGUACAUAUGUAAUCUCAAUUUCCCUACUAUCUCCCCCCUUUCAGACAUGGAACGGCAGCGGCCCGACAUGUUCUACAAGAUAAAUAAACUGACUCGGCUUCAAUCUCUCUCUCCCUGCUUCUGGCUUGCCUGUUUGGUAAUUACAUGAUGGAGCAAGAAGGGUCCUGAUGGGGGUGAAUCGGAUAGAUAUAGGUCUGAGGCAUGCCUCCAACGUACACGGGCCAAUCAACCGGCUGCACUUCUGGCUCUUCUUUCUUUUCUCCCACAGCUUCUACACUUGCUAACUCUGCGUAGCCUACUUUCUUUCUCAGCAAAUUUGUAAGUUGUACUGCAUCAACUCCAUCGCCUACCACCUCUAUCUGGCUCUUAUCUUCCCCACCUAAACCAGCAGAUUCAACACCUACAGAAUCACAAAAGGAUAUAUAAACCCGUCAACAAAUUGAUCAUCUGAAUUUUCCCACAAAUGCAUGGUUUCUAUUAGGUAUUCCGAUUCUAAAACUUGUGUGCAUGGAAGGUUUUGUUCACCUGAAAGCCCAACUGCAAUCUGCAAGGCUUUGGAGCGGGACUUCGGUCCCUUCCCCGUCACCUUGAUCACUAUCUUUUGCUGCAAUAAUUUAGCAUAAUUAAUCAUUAACAAGAAAGUAAUAUACAUAAUAUAUUUACGAACAAGCUAGUAAUAUACUUGGGUUCUGAUCGCAAAUUCAUACCUUCAUGGUCUUGGUUGUUGGAAAGAUGGUGAUACGUAGGGAAUGAGGAGCUGUUUACAGUCCAGGAGACACCAAAAGUGAUGGUUUUGGUCUUUUGGGGAGGUUUUGAAGAAACAGAGGAGGGAGUAAAUUAAUGCUCAAGUUGUUUGAAGAUGGAAAUCUGGGAGGCAGUUCUUGCUAUUUAUAUAGGAGUGCAUGGGCUAGAGAGUAUGCUUGAGGAGAUUUCUGUGCAAGUUCUCAAGGAAGCUCUGAUUCCGAUUCGCUAUUCUUUCAGUUGACAAAGUAAACACACGGCAUUUCGUUAAUUUGGGGUCCUGCUUAUCAAUGACCUAGCUCAGAUCAAGACCUAAUUAAUUUUAAUCACCAAAUAAAAAAAAAAAGAAAAGAAACAAGACAAGUUGGCUAGAUUUGUGUGGGAUAUUAGGAAAGACCGCUGAAGUGUUUUUAUUUAAAAAUAAAUUAAAAUAAUAAUAUUAUUUUUAUUUUAAAAUUACUAAAAAAUCUAAUUUAAAAUAAAGAAAAUUAAUUAAACUUUUUUUAAAAAAUAUUUUUAAACGCAAAAAUAAGCAAUCCUUCUAAUCUCCAUACAAGGCUUGUGUUUGCAAUUAGAGAGCAAAAACAAGUUGAUGGUUUUUUUUUUUAAUUUGUAAAACACACAAUCCUGCUUAUAAUUAAUCUCGGCAGUAAAUAUUUUCAAAACCAAGUUGUGGCAUGUCAUAGUUCGCGUUUCUCUCGGCCGAAUUAUUUUAGUUGAAUAAAGAAAAGGAAGAAACGGAUCCACAGUUCAUCUUGCAAGCAAUCCCGAGGAAAGAGUCUGCAAACCAAAUCGAUUUUUAGUCUUUAAUAACACUUAAUUACUCCUAAAAGGGGCCAGGGAAAACGAGAACGCUGAAAAAUCAACAGCAAAGUUGGAAAAAUGGAGGGCACAGUGCAGCAAUAGCAGAGCAGAGUUACAUCGAGAUUAGGUGGCUAUCAUCAUCAACCUCUCUCUUUCCUGUUGUGUGUGAUAAAAGAAUAAAAAGAAUAUAGGAGUAACUGACUGUAUUUGAUAAAAAGCUGUGUACGUGUGACUUUUUCUGAAAAGAAACAGGAGCGGGUAAGGGGCAAAUUAGCCAAUUUAGUACAUCGAACCCCUCUUCUUGUAAAGACGACUUAUUAGUCUUUGUAUUAUAUAUCAUCGUCAUGCAUGCAUUACGGGUCAAAUGAAUUAUUAUUUUUAGUAUAUAAAAAAAUUAUCUAGUUAUUGUUGACGUUUUUCUAGUAAAACUGCGUGAAGGUUCAUUAAUUUAAUAAGUUUAAAAAUAACUCGCUUGAAUAAUUGAUAAAAAUACUAUAUAAUUCAUAAAUAUUCUAGAUAUUUUUUUAAAAAAAUUAUUAAAACGAAAACAUAUUAAAUUGAUCUGGGUAAACCCAGGUUCAUCUGCUAAAUCCGUAACCUGUAUUGUGAGACCAUGAUAACUCUGUAUAAAACAAAUCAAAACAAAUUAAGAAACUCAAUUGCCUGAAAACUCAAUGUUAAAGAAUGAAAUUGAAAAAAAAAAAAAGUAGAAAAAUAAUGAUUUGAGUUUAACCUGUCAAAUCUAUUACCCGGGUCAUGAGAUCAGGAUAACCUCAUGGAAAAAAAAAAACUUGAGUCAACUCGGGUUAACCUACUAAACUUAUGACCAAGAACAUGAGAUAGUGACAACCUCAUUGAAAGCAAAUCAAAAACAAAUUAUAAAACCCAGUUUUUAAUAAACUCAUUGUUAAAGGUUAAAAUAAAUAAAUAAAUUCAAUCUAAAAACAGGAUACAAUAAAACGACCCAAGUCAUAAAAUCAGGAUAACCUUAUAAAAGAUAAAUCAAAUAAAUCAUGAAGCAUAAUUCAUAAUCAACUUCAUGUCGAAUGAUUAAAUUAAAAAAAAUAAAAUAAAAAAUUAAAGUUAACUUGUCAAACCCGCAACAUGAAUCAUGAUACCGAAAUAACUUCAUAAAAAACAAUUCAUGAAGUCUGAUUCUCAAUCAACUCAAUGUUGAAGGUUUUAAGUAAAAAAAACUCGAAUCAAUCAAGUUAACCCGACAAACUCAUGAUAUAGGUUAUGAGAUCAAGUUAACCAUUAAAAGAGCAAACCAUAAUAGAUUAUGAAAUCCAAUCUCCAAUAAACUAAAUGUUGAAGUAUAAAAUUAGGAAAAUAAAUAUAGAUUUGGAAAAGAAAAGAAAAAACAAAGUCAAGGAAAAAAAACUAUUGAAAUGAAUAAAAAUUUAUGAGGCAAUGCAUAGCAUAUAAAAACACUUUCUCUUUUAGUUUAUACUACUAACUAUUUGACCCAUGUUCCUCCGUGAUUUGAAUUUUUUUUUAUAUAAAAUAAUGAAUAUGGAAGCUUUUCCAAUGUGUUUUUUGUAUAAAAAAUUAAAAGUGAAAAUAAAAAGUAAUAUGUAUACGUCUAAUAAAAUAAAUUAAGAAUUAUGUGUGUUAAUAAAUUAAUAAAAAGUCUUUAACAAUAAAUAAAGAUGAAAAUUAAAAAAAUUAAGAGGCGGACAUAGACCAAGAUAUUCAACUUCGCAACUUGAAUCUUUGACAUGGUUGAGUUUAACAACUUUAUUCACAAAAAAAUAAUUUUUUAUUUAACUAAAUGAUAAUAAAAAUGGAGACAUAUGCAAUUGAUUAAAUAAAAUAAAAAGCAAAAAAAAUAUUAUGCAAGGUUACACAUCUUAAAAAUAUUAUCUGAAAAUAAAUAUUUUUAAUUUUUUGAAAUAAAUUUCAUUUAUACAAAACAUAAGAAAAUAAAUGAAUUAGAACAAUCUCUUAAAAAAUUAAAUGCAUAUAAAAUAAUUAAAAAAUAAUCAUUGUUUAAAAGAGGCUAGAUAAAAAAAAUUAAAAGAGAGGAGUAUUAAUUUAAAUAUAAAUUUUAAAAUUAUUUUUUUAAAAAUACAUAUAAAACGACAUUAAUUAAUUUAAAAAAAAAACAGAAAAGGUCAGGCACUGCAGGGUCUGACAAACCAGGACAACACGCUUGGCCCAUCCAAUAAGGGCCCGCGCCUGGAAGAGGAGGCUCGUUUUCUUGGCCCUUAUUUUUUUUUAUUCUUGAUGAUGUGGAGAACAUGUCGUCCUUCAAUUUUUUUUAAAAGAAAAUAAGUCAGACGACAUGUAGUCUGAUAUUACCUAGUUUUCAGCCACCACCAUGGCUACAAAAUCAGGGCAUAAGUUUCUUCGACUUAAAAACUGAUUUUUCAACUCAUUGUCUACCAAAGACACCUAGAAAACAUCUUAGGCAACUUGAUAAACCCAUUCAUGCCUUUAAAAAAACCAAAAAACCAUCCCGAAACUCGAAAUCAACCAAAAACAAAAAAUCUUACCAAGCUCAAAUAUGUUUUUAGGCAAUUUCAAGGUAAAAAACACCUACUGUGAACUCCCCUCAUCAAAUAAAAAAAUUUAACACUAAUAUCAAACGUUUUUGCGGCCAAAUUCAGUGCAAUGGAAACUUUCUCUCUCUAGUGUUGAAUUCUAGCGUCUUUCUCUUACCUUUCUCAAACCAGGAAUGAAAAAAUAACAAAAAUAAAGUUUGAGAUCAAAAUUGAUUUUGCCCUUAAAUUUUGAAAACUAAAGGGAUCCAAUAUUUAUAAUUUAGAAAGUAUGAGGACUAUAAUAAAUAUUUUGCCCAAACUUUAUUAAAGCUACACAUUCCCUCCGUGUUUCUCAAUUUGGUUCUGUAUCUUUUGAUAUCACUCUUCCCCAAUAAAAUGGCCUGUAAUUUGGUUCAAUAAAGGUCAAACUAAAAAAAAAAAGAAAAAGAAAGAUUGUGUGAAUAGUCUAUCCACGGUACUAAGUGAGAGGAUCCACAAUGCAUUUUGCACAAAGUAUUCCCCGUGCAUUUUUUAUUUAUGGUUAAUAAUAAUAAUUUUCCUUCCAAAUGUGAUUGGAUAUAUUUGUGAGAAAAGAUUCCCUUCUCUUGGGUAGAGUAUCCAUCUAGUCAAACUUGGUCCAUGUUGUUCCCAUCCUGCUCGAGCUAUUAUAGCUACCUAUAAGGAAGGCACGGGGUAAUUAUUUAAAGGUAAUGGAUCCAUUAGGAUACACAUAUAUAAUCGGGUAUAUCAAAAUAUAUCUCUUUUUAUAGUGUCUAAUUUGAGGGAGGAAGUCCAUAAUUUGAACUUAAAUUACAAUUUUUUUUCAUUAAUGCAUUAAAUCAUGAACGCAUAAUAAUGAUCUCUCAAAAAAUCAAAGUAGCGUAGAAGCAAAGCUUAUGUAUUGAAUAAUCAAUUAAUUUUUCGGUUUUAACAAUCUGAUUCAUUUUUCAUUAACUAAGGUGAUUGAUAGAUUCUACCUGGUAGAUCAAAGUGAUUGAUAGCUGAUAUUUGUAAAAGAUCUUUUUUAGUAGAUGUAAGGACUCUCAACGUUUAGAUAAAUAUCUUUUUUAAUAAAAAAAUAUAAUGAUAUUUAAAAGAAAUAAAUUCUAAAAAUAUAUAUACUAAAAAAGUUGAAAAUUAAUACACACACUAGUUCGAAUACCUCGCUAGCUGCAUGCGGGCUAACACCCAAUAAAUAAAUAACGUAUACAUAAUAAAAUAAAUAUUAUUACAUAAUUAGUAUCAUCCUUUUCUAAGGUAGAAACCGUACCCAACUAUUAAAUAAAUUCUAUCAUUUGUAAUAAAAAAAUGACAUUAUCUGCAGGAUAAUUUGCUAGGAGGCAAAACUAGAAUAAUUUCAAAUCAUAGAAAACAUUAAAAAAAAGCUCACAUUUACGUUAUUCUAGAUUUCAAAAUUAAUUCCAACGUAAUCGAAUCAGUUGCAUGAGCAUGAAGAGUACUGGUGGUCAAGAUGAUUAUCCUAACAAAACAUAAACCAACUGUUAUGCAAUUUCUUCUGUUUACGCUUUUUGGAAAUCUAAUUAGGAAGCCACUAGCUAUUUGUUUUCUUCUCAGGAAUCCACCGGAUUUUGGCGUCUCAACUCCUUAUUAGAUUCUUGAAUGACUAUUAAUAAUACUGCAGUUUCUUGUUUAUUUGUCUGAUUUCAGAAAUCCCUUCUCUUUCAGCACUACAGUGUUAAUUCACCCGAGGCAAGGAACGGCGAGCCUUUAUGCCCUGGCUUGACGUCCUGCUUUCUGAGGGCUUAAUUAUUCCUUGCUGCCAUUCGUAUGAGAUCAAGGUUUAACUAGCUGUUAUUUGAGCCCUUUUACAGCUAUUUGUUCUUCAAUUCGGAAUCCCUUAUCUAAAGAGGAAAAUCUGUUCAUCAAGUCGGGAAGAUUCGGUCAAAUGGUUUAAAGUUCGUAUUUUGGUGACCAGAUCUUAUUCCAACUCACUCUCACCCAUCUCAUCUUUAAUGUUUUGCUAUAAUCUAGGAAUAAUUUUAUCAUAUCUGUUCCAAAGUCGUAUAAAAAAUCUCCUCAUUGAUAUAUUUAAUUAAUUACAUCAUUAGGUGUUUAUAUCAAUGAAAAAUAAAUAAAUAAAAAAAGUUGUCAACUCUCAACAGUUCAUGGAAGUUUUUGUCCUUGUUUUAUACACGUAAAAAUCAAAAGAAAACUUUUUUUUUAAUUAAACAAAAGAAAUCUUAUUAAUUAUAUUUGAGUUCGAAUAUGGGUAGAAUAUUGACUAUACAACACCUCAGUGUAUGACAUUCGGUUAACUUACAACAGACAUCCUUGAUUUAAUUUCUAAUAUAUAUAUAUACAUACAAUCCUGCCGGUUCAUGCAAUAUACUGUAUGUGCUGAUAGCAAACACUUGAAGAGAGGGGGAGACAGAGCAAUAGAGAGACAGAGAUAGCAGGGGGGGCUUUUGCAGAUGGAGCAGCCCUAAAGGGGGCUCAUCUCUACGAGUAUAAAACUACUAUUUAUUUCAUCCCUUUUUGGGUAUGAUCUUGGUGUAUCUGGUGAGUAUUUAUCUUUGGCUUCUUAUGUCAAGUGAUCCAUAUAUAUAUAUAUAUAUAUAUAUAUAUAUAUAUAUAUAUAUAUAUGUUUUAAGCAUACAUAUCCAUGUUAAUUUAAGCAAUUAAUAUGCUGACAUCGAAUGUUUGCAUUGCACAUCGGUUCAUCUUCAAGAAAAACUCACUUUACACUUGUUUCUAGAUGAUAUAUUAUCAUGAAACUUAACAUGAAAAUUGGUGGUUCCAGGUGGAGUGACUUCCAUGGAUGAUUUCUUAAAAAAAUUCUUCCCAGGUGUAUGAAAGGAAGCAGCGUCAUCUCCACGAGACGGAUUACUGCAAAUAUGACAACCAGAUACUUACACUACUCACGUCUUCAUUGUACUUUGGGGCCCUUGUUUUCACAUUUUUAGCAUCCUUCAUGACCGGAAGUAAAGGCCGGAGUGCAAGCAUACUAUGUGGAUCAAUAAGCUUCUUCUCUGGAGCUGUUAUCAAUGCAUGUGCAAUGAAUAUUGCAAUGCUGAUCAUAGGACGGUUACUUCUAGGUGUAGGCAUUGGAUUCAGCAACCAGGUAUGCUCAAUGAUCCCUAAGCCAAAAGUAUUUUGAGGCACACCUCUUAAUUUGUUUACAGCAUUUUUUUCCUAAUUGUACAGACAGUUCCCUUGAAUCUGUCAGAAAUGUCUCCUGCAAAAACCCGUGGGCGAUAUAUAUUAGAAAAUAAUAUAAAUUAUAUCCUGGGACCUCACCUAAUAGCUUAAGCUAUUGGUUUGAGAUGGUUCUUUGACAUGGUAUCAGAGCCUUUAUGACCAAGCGGUCACGAGUUCGAAUCUCACCAUCCCCAUUUAUUUGAUAAAAAUUAAGAACAAGAUAAAGUGAGUCUGUGCAAGUUUCAAGCUCAAAGGACUUUUACUUGAGGGGGUGUGUUAGAAAAUAAUAUAAAUCAUAUCCUGGGACCUCACCUAACAGUUUAAGCUAUUGGGUUGAGAUGGUUCUUUGACAAUAUAACAAGUUGUUUCAACUAACAACCUGCUGGAGGAUCCUAGUAGCAAAUCUUGUAAAUUACGGAACUGAAAAAAUCCAUCCAUGGGGUUGGAGGUUAUCUCUUGGUUCAGCUGUAAUCCCUGCAGUUUUAAUGAGUGUAGGUGCUAUUCUCCUUCCUGAGACGCCCAACAGCCUUGUAGAACAAGGAAAGUUAGAAGAAGGAAGAAAAAUAUUGGAGGAAGUUAGAGGUACAACGAAUGUUGAUGCUGAGUUUGCUGAUCUUAUUGAUGCAAGUAACGAAGCAAAAGCCAUAAAGAACCCUUUCAGGAAUCUCUUAAGACGGAAGAAUCGCCCCCAAUUGAUAAUUGGGGCCCUGGAAAUCCCAAUGUUUCAACAGCUCACUGGAAUGAAUUCUAUUAUGCUCCUGUCUUCUUCCAAAGCUUGGGUUUUGCGGCAGGAACGUCUCUUUAUUCAUCUAUCAUUACUAGUGGGGCACUUUUUGUUGGCGCGCUCACGUCAAUCGCAUUUGUCGACAAAUUUGGCAGAAGAACUUUUUUUUAUUGAAGCUAGUUUUGAAAUGUUCAGCUACAUGGUAAGCCAGGCUCGUUUAAAUCUUUAGCAUAUCGCUAGGGCUUGAAUACUAACUCAAUUGUUUAAUCUGCAGGUGGCUUUGGCAGUAACUCUUGCCCUGAAGUUCGGACAAGGAGAAGCUCUCUCGAAAGCACUCAGCGUGUUCCUAGUCGUUAUCAUUUGCUUGUGUUGCUUUGCUUAUGGAAGGUCUUGGGGUCCUCUAGGGUGGUUAGUUCCAAGCGAGCUCUUUCCAUUGGAGACAAGGUCAGCUGGACAAAGUAUUGUGGGCUGUGUCAACAUGAUCUUCACAGCAUUGAUAGCACAAUGCUUUCUCGUGUCUCUCUGCCAUCUUCGUUAUGGGUUUUUCUUGUUAUUUGGUGCCAUGGUUGCCUUCAUGGGCAGCUUCAUCUUCUUUCUCCUGCCAGAAACAAAGCAAGUCCCAAUAGAGGAGGUAUACCUUCUCUUUCAAAACCAUUGGUACUGGAAGAAAAUAGUAGGAGAUGGCACCAAUGAUGAUGAAUUGGAUGGAAAGAAGGGACAAGCAACUUAGAAUACAUCUCCAAAAUCGGGGAAAACAUCUCCUUUUCAAGUUUAUUGUUUAAUUUUUUUCCUCUAGACUACAAUUCUGUAGAUAAUCUCGUCUCUGGUUAGGCAUUUCUAUGGAUAAAUAUGCAUUAAGUCCUAAUAAUAUUUUUCAGCCAAGCAUUUCUGGGAAAGGUUUUCCACUCAUUUUCUUUUCUUGAAUUAAGUUAUUUUAAGAAUGAAAUUUUCGUAUGAUCAAAUUCACAUAUAAACCGGAAUCUGUGGGGAUGUUACAACACACCUUAAAUUAGAUAGAAAAAUACAAGAAUGAAAGAGAAACGAAUUUGAGAAAGGAAGAAGAGAUCUCUAAAAGUUCUGUUGUGUCCAUAAGGGAUUCCUAUUUCUAAGACCAUAACCGUUGUAAAAACACUAUACAUUUCCCCAGUUGUAAAAAAGUAUUCACCAGCUUUUCAUCAACAUAUGUAACAAGGUUGAUGCAAUCUUUUAUGCUCACAAGAUUUGUGCAGAUGCCUGUCUUUGAUGGUUAAAAAGAAAUAAAAAAAUGCUAUGCCAAGUUCUUUGGGCAUCCAAAUGGGAAAAUAAUUUGGACUGAAAUUUUUGCCAAGCUAAUUUUCUAUAGUUCCAUAGAAAUCAGGGGAGUAAGACAUCAAUUUCUCAACAAGUCUUUCCUUUACCCUUGGUAAACUCAUAUUUAUUGGCGCACUAGUAGUUUUAUAGUAAGGAUAAAGUGUUAUUCAAUUUUCAAUACAAACAUAUCUCAACUGAGUUGAUUUCAUAAAUUUGACCCUUGGUAAACUCAAUGUCCAAUGCCUGAAUGCAAUCUUCGGCUGCUACAAUUCUGCUAACCUCUCCAACAAGCUUAUCUCCUGUGAAUCCAAAUAGCAAUUCAAUAAAAAGAAGAGACAUGUGAAAGAGAAGGAAAUAUCAGAAAGGUUGGAUGCAAUUAUGCAAACAAGGGCAUACAGAACAUAAGAAUUAGCCACUUUCAACGUGUUAUGGAAAGAUUGACAGAAUUGGGUCCAAAAGAUUAAUUAGGAAAUAGUUCUGAUGCUAUCUAUUUCAUGAUCAGCUUGAGAAAACUAAAGCGCCAGACUUUUUCCAAAAAUCCAUUUUGGUGUGAUGAAAAAAGAAUGGAUAUCAGAGGGCAAUGGUCAAGAAAAAACACCAGAGAAAUAAGCCAACAAGAUAGUGUUGAUGCGUAUUAUAAGCCAAUAGCAGCAUUAUCCUUAAGCUCGUAUAAAAGCAUUGCUGUAUCAUGUUUGUUUAAACCAAGGAAUGUAGUUUUAUGACAAAAUCAUUGUUGGAAAAAGAUGUACUAAAUUCCAAGCUGCACUCUUCACAUCUCAAAUGAACACUAAGAAGACAUCCAUUGCCCAUUCUGCCGAUCGUUUAGCUAUAACACUAGACACCACAGUCUCCUUUCCUGAUAGUAUCUUAUUCACCAGAAUGUAAAGCAUGUGCCUCAAUGGCCAGUGGGUGAUAGUUCAAUAGUGAUUCUGCAAAUUAUUUCAAUAGCGCCUCAAAGGCAGGUCUCAUGACUUGGUAAUCCUGUUUGCAUGUACUCUGUCACUCCUGAUAUGUUUGACAUGUGUAAUCCUUAAACAAGCACUGUAAUAUUUGAUUGCUCGUGAAGUGUUGCACCUGACUUCACAUGCUUGUUUUUGCUUUUCUUUUAGGUGGCUACCAGGGGGGAUGUUGCUCCUACUGUUUCUGCCUGACUUCGUAUGUUUCUGCCCAGUGAUGUGGUCAGCCAAGCAUUGAUAGCAGAAUCAUUUAGUGGGAAUACCCAAAGCUUUUGACUUGUUCAUCACUUGUGAUCAUAUGAUGUCAGGAACACACAUCCACCACUAACCCAUUCCAGAUCAUAUGAAUGAACUUUUUUCUGGUCUGAAACGAGGAAUAAAUCCCAUGAACCUUUCCGUAUUUGAUUGCUAGAAUUGAUAUAAUUUUUCUCAUGUUUUCCUGGCAGCAAUGGAUAUAUCUUCCGACCUUACAAAUUUGGCAGGACUCCAGUAGCAGUGAUAUCUGCUGGAGUAAAAUCCGUAUUAGAUAUUCCCAGAACCUUAUAAUAUUUGGUAGAUAUCAUCUUUUUUUACCCCAUUUAUCAUCAGAAGCAAUUCAACUUCAGCUGUUCAUAUCAGUUUUAAAUAAACAGGAAACUCAGGGCAUUUGUGUUGCCGCUUAUAAGACCAAUGAGUUUCCUGCAUUUUUCACGGAGAGAAGUGGUUGCGAGGUACGCCCUUUCUCAUGGCUCACAUUGUCUUUUCAAGCUCCAUCUGAUUUCAAUUUGCAAAAUGUGAAAAUAGCUAAAUCUGUUUGGUUCGUUGCAAUGUAUACCCAUUUUCUAGGAUUGCAUCACUUGACAACUUUCUGCCUGAGAAAAGAAAAAGAAAAAAGAAAGAGUGUUUACAAAGGUACAUUGACUGGUUUCUGUGGAGUGAGGUGUCUCGGUUCUCCUCCUAGAAUCCGGAACCUGGAACAAAUCGAUCAUAUCAGUUAGGCUCGCUGCACCUACCAACUACAAUAGCAGAGUCCACUUAUAUAUAUAUAUAUAUAUAUAUAUAUAUAUAUAUAUAUAUAUAUAUAUAUAUAUAUAUAUAAUUUACUUUCUAAUUUAUUAUCUAAUCUCGUGAAUAGAUUACAGGUUUUGUAGAUGCACUCAGGCUUACUGAGUCAUUUCCCCCCUCUUUUUACGGUUUUUUUAUAUUUGUUUGUCUUUAGAAAAGUUAGUCAACGAAAAAUAUUUUCCGGUCAACAAAAAAUUUUCCUUUUAUUUUGGACGAAAAACUCUUUUUGAAAGUUGUGAAAAAUUUAGAAAUGUCAUAUUAUUUGCUGAUUAUAUCAAAUUUGAUCCUCAAACUUUUGAUUGGUAUAUAUAUUUUAUUUUGAAUAUUUGUUUUUCAAUUUUAUCCUUUAGAAUUUAAUUUUUAUAUUAAUUUUGGUCUUCAUUUUUAUAAUUGUUAUUUGCUUUUCCCUUAUUAUUUUAUAAUUGAAUUUUUUUAUCUAUCAAAUUUGAUUCUCGUUUUUUUGAUUGUUACUUAUUUUAUUUGAAAUAAUUUAUGAAAUGUUAAUUAUUAUUAUUUUAAUUUCUUCAUCUUUCAAUUUUUUUUUUAAAAAUUUGAUCUCUAUUAUUUUGAUUAUUAUUUAUUUUAUUUGAGAUAAUUUAUGAAAUUAUAUAUUUUUUUAAUUUUAUUCUUAUUCAACUUUUAAUUUGUAAAAUUUGUUCCUCAUUAUUUUAAUAAAUUUUUUUAAAAAUAAAACAUUAAUAAGUUAUUUUCCAGCUCAUUUUCCAUAACAUAACCAAAUAAUGGAAAGUAUUUUCCAACUUAUUUUCAUUACACUACCAAACAUCGAAAAAUAAUUCACUUUUUCAAAAUUCACUUUCUAAAAAAAACUACUUUAAUCAAAUAAACGGUCCUUGGAUAAACAUUGAAUUCACUACCUUAAUUAGUUUUUAUUUUUAAUAUAGCCACAAGACUUAUGAAAGCUGCGCAGAGAAAACGAUAAUUCAGUCCAUUCCUGUGUUUUCAAUGUUUUCCUAGGACUCAUCAUGGGAUUAAUACACUGUUAUUUGAACCUGCAGCUUCAAGGGUUUGUAUUGUCUAUGCAUGCAAUUGACCCCAAAAUAAAACCAGAAUGAAUCAAAUUAAACUGCUAAAAAAACAUAUCAAUCGAGUUGAACCAGCUGGACGUGGUAAUGCCAUAUUAAUUACCACUUGAAAAAAAAAGAAGAAAAUAUUGGUGCUAAAGCUGGGGAUCGAACAAAAGGUGCCAACAUCUUAUUUUAAGGAAAGUUUUAUAUGUAUGUAUGCAUGUAUGCGGGCAGAUUUAUGCUUUAUUUGUACAAUAGAUAUUAUGAAACAAUAUUUUUUUAAAAAAUAAUGUUGAAAUGAUAAACUAUUAAAUUAAUCUAGAUGAAUUUUUGUUAUUAUUAAAUUUUUAAUAUGUAUAAUAAAAUUAAAAUAAUUUUAUAUAAAAUAAAUUAAAAUAAAUUAUGAAAUUUAAUUUUUUAAUAAUAUUAAAAAAUAAAAUUUUUUUAAAAAUAUUUUUUAACAUGAUUCAUGUGAUCAAGCGCACAAAAGAAUCCUAAACGCUAUAUCACACAUAUAUUAAUGGGCUAACGUGCACCUCGAUCAUCAAUGACGAACCAAUGAUGAAACUAACUGCGACCUUUUAAGUAUUUGAUUUGACCUCUAUUUGCUUCUGUUUCAUGCAUGAGAGAAAGGUAGAAGUUUUAUAGCCUCGUCAAAAAAACUAAGAUGUGCAGGAGAAAUGCAAAAAGAAAGUGCGAUCAAUGCAUAACCAUACGAUAACUAAGGGAACCAAUCCACAACAGAAACCAAACUUCAAUAAUAGCACACUGUAGAAAUCCUGAUAAGGACGCACUGUCCUCAAAGCAUGCAGCAAUCAAUAAACACCCAUAAUCCCACGGAUAAAGGAUGUUCCAAGAACUCAUAAGAACCGACAAACAGGCAACGAGGAGAAGACGAACGUAUAAGGAGAUCAGAGCACCAAAAGAUCAGACAAACAGGAACAGCAAACCAGAAGGAGAGCAGUUCGUCAGUACUGACACAGCAUGAAGACCACACAAACCUGCAUAUAUAUAUCCCAUCAAAUCCAUUUAAGUUAAACCAGCAAGAUGGUCUCAAAGAAACCAGCAUAAAAGAACAAGGAAACAAAAGAUAACGAAAAGAAAGCAACAAAAAAUGGGCAAAAGGAAGCACCAGCAGGAACAACGACAGAGAAAUAGAAUGAACAGAAAAACCAAUGAGCCAGACCUAAGAGGGAGGCAUGAAAGAGAGUAAAAAGGAGAAGCAGAUGAACCUACCUACGCGACCCAAGCCAAAAAAAAAGAGAGGAUGUGAAAGCAUGGGAAGCCCUUGGACAACACUAGCAUGAUAUAACAAAAAAAACAAUGAAACAGAACCUGAAAUGAUAAAAGGGCAAGUAAAGGCCAAAUAAAAUUAGCAAAAAAACUAACCAAACCUGAAGAGUGCUGAAAAUCACAAACUUGUCAACGACCAAACAGCUUGUGAGCACAAAAAAAGAGACCUGGAACUGGAAUUCCCCAGUCAGCAGUCUAGAUCAAGCAGACGUCCAAUCAAACCCAAUAAUCAGCAGCUCUUCCAAUGUUAAAGAGCGAAGGGCCCAGCCAAGUGGGCAUUGCAUGUAAUGCAUAAUCAUGAUCCCGGGUCGUUUUCUCUGAGGUAGCAGACACGACCGAAAUAAAAUAACCCCACCCACAACCAUUGUCAGUAUUUUUUUUUUAGUUUAUGUAUUUAAAGUAUAAAUUAUAUUUUAUGACAAUAAAAAAUAUAUGUACCAUUGUCAGUAUUUAGUUGGAUGGUGUGGUGAUUUUUUUUUAAGUUAUGUAUUUAAAGUAUAAAUUAUAUUUUAUGACAAUAAAAAAUAUAUGUAUUUUAUGUGAGUUCCAUACAAAAAUCAACCAUAUAUCCAAACGAAACACCACCACAAAGCCUGCCCUGCAACCUCAAGCCGCUGCCACUUCCCAUCACAGCCAGUGCACAAGAAGCUGAACACACAACACCCAAAAAAACCCAGCCCUCCAAGGCUCAAAAGGAAGCGCCAACAACCCAAGGCGCGAUGAGAGCAAUGGAAAGCCGCACCAUUAAGAAAAGCAAAACCAGCGGAAAAAAGAGGAAGUCGCCCCCAUGACUGAACCACACUGCACGGUGAAUGGUUUGUAAUUAUAAUAGCGAUAAUGAUUUAAAGUAUUUUUUAUUUAAAAAUAUAUUAAAAUAAUAUUUUUUUAUUUUUAAAAAUUAUUUUUAAUAUUAAUUUAUUAAAACAAUCUAAAAAUAAAAAAUAAAAAAAAUUAGUAAAAAAAAUUCAAAAUUUAAGGGCUAGAAUCAUCCCACAACCCUGGAAAGAUGAGGCAACUACAUGUACUGUGCAAUUCCACAGUUAACUGAGUUAUGGGAGCAGUUUUUGUCUUUGCGGAAUAAACCGUGAUAUCUCAAGUUAUGAUUUCUUUUUUAAAUCUGAAAUUAUUUUUUAAAUUGUUUUGAUAUAUUGAUAUUAAAAAUAAUAUUUUAAAAAUAAAAAAUAUUAUCUUAAUAUAUUUUUUUUUAAAAAAACAAUUUAUUUAAACACUCUAAAACACCUCUUAUGUACAGUAUCUACUUAGUAUUUUUCCAUACUGUUUAGAGUUUUUUUUUGUUAAUUGUUCACUGGAUAUGAUGUGCCUUUGAUACAAAAAGAAAAGGAGAAGAUGAUGUUAAACAUUCAUCUUAGUCCAAUAGCUUAAAUUGUUAGGUGAGGUCUCAAGAUAUGAUUUAUAUUAUUCUCUAACACACCCCCUCAAGUGAAAGUCCUUUGAGCUUGAAACUUGCACAAACCCACAUUACCUUGUGUUUAAUUUUUAUCAAAUAAAUGAGAGUGGUGAGAUUCGAAUUCAUAACCACUUGGUCAUCAAGGUUCUGAUACCACGUUAAAUAACCAUCUCAACCCAAUAGCUUAAGCUGUUAGGUGACAUCCCAGGAUAUGAUUUAUAUUAUUUUCUAACAUAUGCUUCGUGGUGCCCAAAAGGUUCAACAACUGGAUUAAAAUUCAUAAGUUGAUAUUGUUGAAUAAUUAACGACUGAAUAUCACCAUGCUUUUUGUUCACCCAAUAUCAAGAUUUGUCCCUCCUGUAACAUGAGAAGUUGAGACAAGCAAAGAAGCUUGUUUACACAUGGUUAUGUAUAUAUAUAAUCUCAAUUUCCCUUUACUAUCUCCCCACUUUCAGACAUGGAACGGCAGCGGCUCAACAUGUUCUACAAGAUAAAUAAACUGACUCGGCUUCAAUAUAUCUCUCUCUCCCUGCUUCUGGCUUGCCUGUUUGGUAAUUACAUGAUGGAGCAAGAAGGGUCCUGAUGGGGGUGAAUCGGAUAGAUAUAGGUCUGAGGCAUGCCUCCACCAAACACGGGCCAAACAACCGGCUGCACUGCUGGCUCUUCUUUCUUCUCUUCUUUCUUUUCUCCCACAGCUUCUACACUUGCUAACUCUGCGUAGCCUACUUUCUUUCUCAGCAAAUUUGUAAGUUGUACUGCAUCAACUCCAUCGCCUACCACCUCUAUCUGGCUCUUAUCUUCCCCUCCUAAACGAGCAGAUUCAACACCUACAGAAUCGCAAAAGGAUAUAUAAACCAGUCAACAAAUUGAUCAUCUGAAUUUUCCCACAAAUGCAUGGUACUUUCUAUUAGGUAUUCCGAUUCUAAAACUUGUGUGCAUGGAAGGUUUUGUUCACCUGAAAGCCCAACUGCAAUCCGCAAGGCUUUGGUGCGUGACUUCGGUCCAUUCCCCGUCACCUUGAUCACUAUCUUUUGCUGCAAUGAUUUAGCAUAAUUAAUCAUUAACAAGAAAGUAAUAUACAUAAUAUUUUUACGAACAAGCUAGCAAUAUACUUGUGUUCUGAUCGCAAAUUCAUACCUUCAUGGUCUUGGUUGUUGGAAAGAUGGUGAUAUGUAGGGAAUGAGGAGCUGUUUACAGUCCAGGAGACACCAAAAGUGAUGGUUUUGGUCUUUUGGGGAGGUUUUGAAGAAACAGAGGAGGGAGUAAAUUAAUGCUCUAGUUGUUUGAAGAUGGAAAUCUGGGAGGCAGUUCUUGCUAUUUAUAUAGGAGUGCAUGGGCUAGAGAGUAUGCUUGAGGAGAUUUCUGUGCAAGUUCUCAAGGAAUCUCUGAUUCCGAUUCGCUCUUCUUUCAGUUGACAAGUAAACACACGGCAUUUCCUUUGGGGUCCUGCUUAUCAUUGACCUAGCUAGAAGACCUAAUUAAUUUUAAUCACCAAAUAAAAAAAAAAAGAAGAAAGAAACAAGACAAGGUGGCUAGAUUUGUGUGGGAUAUUUGAAAAGACAUCUGAGAUAGUAAUUUUUUCAUGUGUUUUUAUUUAAAAAUAAAUUAAAAUUAAAAUAUAUUUUUAUUUUUAACACCCACAACCACAAAAAUAAACAAUCCCUUCUAGUCUCCUUACAAGGCUUGUGUUUGCAAUCAGAGAGUAAAAACACGUUGAUGGUUUUUAUUUUCUAAUCUGUAAAACACACGAAUCCUGCUUAUAAUUGGUCUCGGCAGGAAAUAUUUUCAAAAUCAAGUUGUGGCAUGUCCUAGUCCGCGUUGCUUUCGAUCCAAUUCUUUUAGCUGAUUAAAAGAUAAAAGGAAAAUAUGGGAUCCACAGUUCAUCUUGCAUGCAAUACCGAGGAAAGAGUCUUUGCAGACCAAAUCGAUUUUUAGUCUUUAAGAACACUUUAAUUACUCCUAAAAGGGACCAGGGAAAAUGUGAACGCCGAAAAAUCAACAGUAGAGUUCGAAAAUGAAGUGCAGCAACAGGAGAGCAGAGUUACAUUGAGAUUAGGUGGCUAUCAGCCUAUCAUUAUCAACCUUUCUCUUUCCUGUUGUGUGUGUGUGUGUGUGUAUGAAAAAGAAUGACGAGUGAUAAAAAGCUGUGUGUACGAGUGACUUUUUCUGAAAAGAAACAGGAGCGCGUAAGGGACAAAUCAGCUAACUUAAUAUAUCGAACCCCUCCUCUGGUACAGAGUACAGACGACUUGUUUAUUAUACCAUCGUUAUGCCAUACAUUACGGGUCAAAUGAAUUCUUUUUUUAACAUAUAAAAAAAAUAUCAAGGUAUUGUUGAUGUUUUUCUAGAGUAAAAAAUUUAAAACUGUGUGGGAUGGUUCAUUUAAUAUGAUAUAAUUAACUUGAUGAGUGUAAAAAUAACUUGAAUAAUUAGUAAAAUUAUUGUUUAAUUUACUAACAUUGAAGGCAAUUUUUUUUAAAAAAAGUAAUAUUGAAACAAUAAUAUAUUUAAUUGAUUUGGGUCAACUCAGGUUAAUUUGUCAAAUCCGCAACCUGGAUUAAGAGACCAUAAUAACCCUGUAUAAAACAAAUCAAAACAAAUUAUGAAGUUAAAAAAAAUGAUUUGAGUUAACCUGUCAAAUCUGUGACCCGGGUCAUGAAAUUACACUACAAGAUUUAACAGUUUUACCAACGGAAAAAUUUCAUCGGUAUAAGACACAUAUUCCAUCGGUAAUUAUAUUACCGACGGAAUCACAGACAAAAAUGAUCCGUCGGUGAAUCGUUCGUCGGUAAUGUUUUGUCCGUCGGUAAAUCCGUUGGUAAUAUAAUCACCGACGGAUUUACUGACGGAACAGAUGCGUCGGUAAUAAUUUUUUAUUAUCAAUGAAAUUACCGAGGGAUAUACCGACGGAAAUUUCGUCGGUAAUUAUAUAAAAACAUUUUAAAAAAAUCAUUUUAUAAAAUUAUAAAAUAAUUAAAUUAACAUAAAUCAACACAAUAUAUUAUAUACUCAAAAUGCUUGGAAAAAAAAAUAAGAAAAUCAACUCAAACAAAUUUGCAACAAAUAAAUAAAAUGAAAAAAAUAAAUUCAACUAAGAAAAUUCAUAUGAAAAAAAUGAAGUUGCAAUUGCUAAAAAUUUAAAAAUCCCUAUAAAUAAAUCAACUAAAAAUUGGUCUCAUAUGAAAAAAAAAUCUCACAACAAAAUUUAUACAAUUAUUAAGAACAAAAACAAUUAAAAAUAGAAUAAAAAACAAAUAUAGUGAAAAAAAUCAUGAAAAAAGAAGAAAAAAGAAAAAUAUUACCUUAAUGUAAUUGCAAGUGAAGCUAAGGAGAGAAAUUUUUUUUUCGUAAAGCAUAUUAAUUAAAAAAAAACUAAGAGGAUAAAAGAAGAAAGAAGAAGAAGAAGACAUACCCGAGUAUGAACGAAAAGAGAAGAAGAUUAGGAGAGAAAAGAAGAGAAAGAAAUAGAUAUUGAUGUUUUUUACAUAUAGUGAAGAAGAAGAAGAAGAAGAAGAAGAAGUAGAAGAAAAAUUAUAAGAAAUGAGUCUGUUUCUUGUGAAAUAAGGGGAUCCAGACUUUUAAUUGGGGCGCGUUAGCGACGGAUUUACCAACGGAUUAUUGAAUAUUAAUAUUUUUUAAUUAUUCCGUCGGUAAUUCCAUCGGUAAUAUUUAAUUUAAAUUUUCAAUUUUGUAAAAAGUUUUCAAAAACUGCCAACAAUUACCGACGAUUUUUCAAUCCAUCGGUGAUUCCGUUUGUAAUAUUUAAAUGAAAAUUUUAAAUUAAUUGAAUUUUUUCAGAAAACCGCCAAAUAACACUGACGACUUUUCAAUCCGUCGGUGAUUUUGUCCGUAAAGAACAACAAUUAACAGUGCAAUUGGAAAGUGAACAGUUCUGGAGCUCUCUAGAAAAUACCGACAGAAAUUUCCGUCGGUGAUUCCCUUUGUAAUUGACACGAUGAACAAUGUUCACAGUUUACCAAUGGAUUUACCGACGGAUUUACCAACAGAAUUACCGACGGAAUAAUUUCCGUCGGUAAUUUCGUUGGUAAAAAUGACACGUCAUCAUUUUUUUUUGCUUUGUUUUAAUUUUUUUCCCACGGUAAUUCCCUCGGUAUAUACCGAGGGAAUAUUUCCGUCGGUAAAAUCCCUCGGAAAGUUACCGACGAAAAUAUUCCCUCGAUAUUUCCGUUUGUAUUUAUCGAUUUUCUGAUAGUGUUAUGAUAACCUCAAGGAAAGUAAACAAAAAAAGUCAACACGGGUUAACCUGCUAAACUCACGACCAAGGUUAUAAGACCGUGAAAACCUCAUUGAAAACAAAUCAAAAAAAAAUUAUAAAGCCCAGUUUUCAAUAAACUCAUUGUUAAAGGUUAAAAUAAAUAAAUCUAGAAACAUAAUACAAUAAAACAACCAGAUUCAUAAAAUCAAAAUAACCUUAUAAAAGACAAAUCAAAAUAAAUCAUGGAGCCUACUUCAUAAUCAACUUCAUGUUGAAUGAUUAAAUUAAAAAAAAAAAUACAAAUUAAAAAAAGUAAAAAAAAACUCGAGUCAACCGGGUCAACCUGUCAAACCCGCAACAUGAGUCAUGAUACCGAAAUAACUUCAUAGAAAGCAAACUAAAAUAAAUUAUAAAGUCUGAUUCCUAAUCAAUUCAAUGUUUAAGGUUUUAAGUAAAACAAAUGUUAAUUAAAAAAAGAUAAAAAAAACUCAAGCCAAUCGAGUUAACCCGGCAAACUCAUGAUACAGGUUAUAAGAUUGACCUAACCAUUUAUAAAGCAAACCAUAAUAGAUUAUGAAAUUCAAUUUCCAAAAAACUAAAUAUUGAAGUAUAAAAUUACAGAAAUAAAUAUAGAUUUCGAAAAGAAAAAAAAACAAAGUAAAAAAAACACUAUUGAAAUGAAAUAAUAUUUUAUGAGGUGGUGCAUAGUAAGAACAACUUCUUUUUUAGUUUAUACUACUAACUAUUUAACCCAUGCUCCUCCGUGAUUUGAAUUUUUAUAUAUAAAAUAAUGAAUCUAGAAGCUUUUCCAAUGUGUUUUUUUAUUAAAAAAAAAAUCAAAAAUGGAAAUAAAAAAUAAUAUGUAUACAUCUAAUAAAAUAAAUUAAGAACUAUGUGUGUCAAUAAAUAAAUAAAAAGUCUUUAACAAUAAAUAAAGAUGAAAAUUAAAAAAAUUAAGAGUCAGCCAUAGACCAAGAUAUUCAACUUCGCAACUUGAAUCUUUGACACGGUUGGGUUUAACAACUUUAUUAACAAAAAACAUUUUUUUAUUUAACUAAAUGAUAAUAAAAAUGGAGACACAUGCAAUUGAUUAAAUAAAAUAAAAGGCAAAAAACAAAUGUUAUGCAAGGUUACAAAUCUUAAAAAUAUUCUCUGAAAAUAAAUAUUUUUAAUCUUUUUCAAAUAAAUUUCAUUUAUACAAAACAUAAGAAAAUAAAUGAAUUAGAACAAUCUCUCGGAAAAUUAAAUGCAUACAAAAUAAUUAAACAAUAAUCGUUAUUUAAAAGGUGCUAGAUAAAAAAAUUAAACGAGAGGAGUAUUAAUUUAAAUAUAACUUUUAAAAUUAUUUUUAAAAAAUACAUAAAAAAAGACAUUAAUUUAAAAAACAUUUUUAAAAAACAAAAAAAGCCAAGCACUGCAGGGUCUGACAAGCCAGGGCAACGCGCUUGGCCCAUCCAAUAAGGGCCUGCGCCUGUAGGAAGAGGCCCGUUUUCUUGGCCUUUAUUUUUUUAUUGUUGAUGAUGUGGACAACAUGUCAUCCCCUAAUUUUUUUUUUAAAAAGGAAAAUAAGCCAGACGUGAUAUUACCUAGUUUUCGGCCACCACUAUGACCAUAAAAUCAAGAGUUAAGUUUCUUCGACCUAAAAAUUGAUUUUCAACUCAUUGUAUACCCAUGACACCUAGAAAACAUCUUAGGCAUCUUGAUAAACCCAUUCAUGCCCUAAAAAAAUGAAAAAAAAUCAUCCCGAAACUCGAAAUCAACCCAAAACCAAAAAUCUUACUAAGCUCAUAUAUGUUUUUAGGCAAUUUCAAGGUAAAAAAACACCUAAUGUAAACUCCUUUCAUCAAAUGAAACAAUUUAACACCAAUAUUGAAUGUUUUUAUGGCCAAAUCCGGUGCAAUGGAAACUUUCUCUCUCUAGUGUUGAAUUUUAGCGUAUUUCUCUCAUUUAUCUCAAACCAGGAACAAAAAAAUAAGAAAAAGAAAGUUUGGAACCAAAAUUGAUUUUUCCCUUAAAUUUUAGAAACUAAAGGGACCUAAUAUUUAUAAUUUAGAGAGUAUGAGGACUAUAAUAAAUAUUUUGCCCAAACUUUAUUAAAGCUACUCAUUCCCUCCGUGUUUCUCAAUUUGAUUCCCCAUCUUUCGAUACCACCCUUCCUCAACAGAUUGGCCUGUAACUUGGUUCAAUAAAGGUCAAACUAAAAGAAAAAAGAAAAAAAAGUUGUGUGAAUAGUCUAUUUACAGUACCAAGUAAGGGGAUCCACAUUGCAUUUUGCAAGGUGUAUUCCUCGUGCAUUUUAGAUUUAUGGUUAAUAAUAAUAAUUUUCCUUCAAAAUGUGAUUGGAUAUAUUUGUGAGAAAAGAUUCCCUUCUCGUGGGUUGAGUAUCCUUGUAGUCAAACUUGGCUCAUGUUGUUCUCAUCCUCCUCCAACUAUUCUAGCUACCCAGGAGGAGGGUAUGAGGUAAUCAUUUAAAGGUGAUAGAUCCACUAGGGUACACAUAUAAUCGGGUAUAUCAGAAUAUAUAUCUCUUUAUAGUGUCUAAUGUAAGAAAGGAAGUCCAUAACUUGAACUUAAAUUACAAUUUUUUUCAUAAUAGAUACAUCAUUAAAGUAUUAAAUCAUGAAUGCCUGGUGAUGAUCUCCCAAAAAAUUAAAGUAGCAUAGGAGCAAAGCUUAUCUGUUAGACAAUCAAUUAAUUUUUUGAUUUUAGCAAUCUGAUUCAUUCUCCAUUAACCAAGAUGGCUAGUAGCUUGUACCUGGAAGAUCGAAGUGGUUGGUAGCUGAUACUUGCAAAAGGUCCUCUCUAGUAUAUGUAGGGUCUCUCAGAUGUUUAGGUAAGUAAUUUUUUAAGAAGAAAAAAAUGUAAUGAUAUUUUAGAGAGAUAGACUCUUAAAAUAUAUAUAUCAAAAAAGUUGAGAAUGAAGAGAUUAUGAAUUUAUAGCCUAUGAGUCUUAUGCUUUUAUGAAGAGGAGGAGUCGAAAAGUCACUUCAUCUUAUUAAUAUUUUAAGUUGUAGUUUACUCAUAAUAAAAUGUAUUGGAUUGGUUAGAUCCAGGUAACAUUUAAACCCAUUCUUUUGAGCCGUUAGGGGCUUUGAGCACAAUAACUUUAAGUCCAUCACCUAGCUAAAGAGACUCUUUGAAAAACUAAGGUUUACAUUAUUUUAGAUGUUAAAUUAGCCUACAUUGCCGCCAUUAUAUAUAUAUAUAUAUAUAUAUAUAUAUAUAUAUAUAUAUAUAUAUAUAUAUAUAUAUAUGUUAAAUUCUAAUAUAUUUAGAUAAUAGUUUGCAUUUUAAAAUAAGUAAUGAUACCUAACUUAUAUAAAAUAAAUUUAAGAUAUUAAAAUAAAAUAAUAACAUAUUAAAAAAUAUUGAACACCUAGUUUUGCUAAUUGUAUAGACUUGAUAACGAUAACAAUUUGUAUAAGAAAACAAUUAUGUUGAAAUCAAAAGCUUUGUUUGAAAGUAAUACUCAUAAACUAAUUUUACUUUUAAUCAAAAUACUAAUUUAUCUAACUUUUAUAUUAUUAAAUUAAAAAAAAAGUCUCAUGUAUUCUACAUGGUGAUAAUGUUUCAAAAUUCAAGAUGGUUAGAAAUAUGAUUUUUUUGGUGGUUGAAUUAUGAGUUAAUCAAGUAUC